AAAAAAAAAACUAAAGGUAUAAAGGUUUAUAACGUUGUGUAUUUACCUAUCACGAAGAUAAUACAUCUCAUCGUGGAUGGACUCAACAGUGUCGAAUAACCUCUUAACCGACAACUCUAUCAUCUGCCAGAAACAACGUAUAAGAUCCAUAACUAAACUAACAUAUAUACAUUUUGAAACCAAGAUCAAAAGAGUCAUACCAGAGAAUGUGUAUCCUAUUUUUUUUUCUUUGUUGACUAACUUAAGACUGAAAGAUUAAAAGACCAAGGUACAUACUUUGACUUGGCUCCUCUUUGGCACUUUAGACCAAUCCUUGGAAGCAGCAGAGUGAACACCAGACAUCCAAACAAAAUCAAUGGUCAAUGUCGUCUCCGGCUUAUGAUCAACGGCGGAGAUGCACGUAAAGUAAUCACCGGUUUCAAACGCAGUAAACGAGAACUCUCCAGCCUCCACCUUAACCGCUUCGUGCAGCGUAUUCCAUUUUGGCGACACCAUCUAAGAAAAUCACAAUAAACAUUUUAAGUUUAAUUUCAAUACAAAGAAUUCCGAAAAUUUAGGAGCAUUCGACAUAUGUAUAAUAAUUUUUUAAAAAAGUAUGGGGAUAAAAGCAAAUAUUUCAUCAGGCUAUGUAUGAAACAAACCACUGAGAGAGAUCGAGGUGAAACGUUUCAGGAGCGUACUACCUUGGCGGUGAUUUUGUGAGAAUCAGGAAGAGGAUGAUCUUCGUUAGGGUUCACGACGAAGUAUUUGCCAACGCUGAUGGAUUUUUCGUGAAUAUCCUCCGAUAUGCAUUUCAUCUGGCCAGAACGAAGCUCGAACUGCAUUGAUAGUGCUGUAGGAGACAAUAACGCAACGAUCAAAAGACAACCCAAGCUCUGACGAAGAAGAUCCAUGGGCGAGACUAGAGAGAGAGAGAAAGAGAUAGAGAGAGCGCGUUGAAAAAUAAACUUAAUUUGGGUCAUAUGAUUGGGUUAGUAUUUUAUUAAGAGACUCUUUUACUAAUCACUAGGUAAUAACCUGCGCCUUGCGCGGGAUGUGAUUAUUAGUUUCGUUAUUUUUUAAUAAAAACACAUUAAAUAUGUUUAAUCUGAAUAUCGGUUCGGUUUUAAGUUAGUUUUUGGUUUUUAAUCUGCUAAAAUAUAACUAUUAUUUUAAAUUAAUACAUAUUUUGGUUUAUUCGGUUAGAAUAUUUGAUUUUUUAGUUUUUUCGGUUAAAACCAAACAUUACUAUUAUUUCUUUCAUGUUAUCAAUUUUAGAUAGUCGUCAUGUCGAACCAAGGUUUCAUAUCAUAGUUUGUAAACGGAUAAUAGUUCAAGAAAAAAAAGAAAAUUAUUAAGACAAAUUAUUUCACUACAAUUUGGUCGGUAGUGAAAGAAGCAUUAAGAAAAACAAUAUAUAUUCCAACUUCCAAAAAAUAAAAUAGAUACUUCAGUUGUGGUAAAUACUUAGUUGCAAGGUGUUCACGUCAAGGUGCACAUUUAUGUGUAUGUAAAAGUAUAUAAAAAUAGUUGACAAAUAUAUAAAUAUAUUGUUAAUUAAUAUUAAAUGAUAUUUUUAUUUAAAAUAAUACAUGAAAGAUAAAAUUAAAAUUAAUUAAAAAUUAAAAAUUAAAACGGCCUUGACAUUAGUGAAUUUUUUUCAUAUAAAGAAAAUAAAUUGUAUUCAUAAAUAGACGUGGACACAAAUCGAAUAUCCGAAAUAUAUAUAUAUAUAUAUAUACAGUUUAGCUUUUGAUUAGUUAUUUGUUUUGAUUCGAACCAAAAAAUCCAAAGUUUUAUUGGAGCCAUGCAUGCGGGUUUUUAUAUUUAAAAAUACAAAAUAUAUAGUGUGAAUACAUUUAUGAUUAUAGUGUGAACGCGUUAGCAUAUUUAUUAUCAAAUCAUUGUGAGGUUGCCACGUGUCUAUUAUAAUGUGAAUGCAUUUAUUACAAUGCUUCUCCUUUAAUAUAUAAGGGAUGUUUACCCCAAACUUAAUCCAAAUUCUAAAAUUAUACUCCACUUUCUUAAGAUAAAAAUCUAGAUAUUAUUACAGAAAAAUCUAAAUAAUUAGGAUAAAAUAAUCUAGAUAUUAUGUUAUAAUUAUCUAGAUUUAGGAUUAAAAUAUUCGAGAUAUUUUGUACUUGUAGAGGCUAUAAAUAUUUCCUGUAUCUUCUCAUUUUGUAUCAUCAAAAAACUAUUUAAGUUCGUAACAAUUAUCAAAAUAAUAAAAAAGUCGCUUUUAAAUUAUAAAAAGCUUUAUUCUUCACAAAGUUUCUUUCUUUCUUCAAACACUUAAACAUUUUUUUUUCAUUUUAACAAAGUUUUCUUUCCAACAUAAAGGUGGGUCUUUGCAGUAUUCAAAGUUUUGGCCGUUUAGAUCAGCUGCAGAGAGACAUCCAGAGUCAAAACAUUUAAUGCCAUGUGUACACGUUCGACUCGUUGAAAUACGUGAACAAAAAAUUCUUGUUCAACGAAACUUGUCUUUCCUAUUUUUUGCCACGAGUAUUCUAUGGGCUUUCUCGAUUUUUUCGUUUGGAUCCAAAAGCUUUCUAAAGCUACUUUCUUAAGGUCCAUUUGAGCUUUUACGUAUAUAAAAAUAUACAUACUUUUGAAUAACAUGAUCCCCUGUAGCACAAUACGUAUUUCUUGGAGUUCAGGAACAUAAAGGGUUUCUUCUAUAGUUCCACUCUCUUCUCAUUUUGUAUCAUCAAAAAACUAUUUAAGUUUGUAACAAUUAUCCAAGUAAUAAGAAAUCUUCUUCUAAAUUAUAAAAAGUUUUCUUUUUUUACAAAGUUUCUUUCUGUCUUCAAACGCUUAAAAACUUUCGCCAUUUUAACAAAGUUUUUCAGUCUAACAGAGAGAUGGGUUUUGGCAGUAUUCAAAGUUUUGGCCGUUUUAGGAUAAGCUGUAGAGAGACACCGAGAGUCAAAACAUUUAAUGCCACGUAUAAACGUAUAAACGUUCGAAUAGUUGAAACACGUGAAUAAAAAAUUCUUGUUCAACGAAACUUGUCUUUCCUAUUUUUGCUGCGAGUAUUAUAUGGGCUUUAUCGACUUUUUCGUUUGGAUCCAAAAGCUCUCUAACACUACUUUCUUAAGGCCCAUUUAAGAUUUUACGUAUAUAAAAAUAUAUAUGCUUUUGAAUAACAUGAUCCCCUGUAUCACAAAAGUUAUUUCUUGAAGUUCAAGAACGUAAAGGGUUCCCUCUAUAGUUGCACUCUCUUCUCAUUUUGUAUCAUCAAGAAACUAUUUAAGUUUGUAACAAUUAUCCAAGUAAUAAGAAAUCUUCUUAUAAAUUAUAAAAAACUUUCUUUUUUACAAUUUUUUUUUCUUUUCAAACACUUAAAUACUUUCACCAUUUUAACAAAUUUUUUCAUUCUACCAGAGAGGUGGGUUUUUUGAAGUAUUCAAUGUUUUGACCGUUUUAGGAUAAGCUGCAUAGAGACACCGAGAGUCAAAACAUUUAAUGGCACGUAUAAACAUAUAAACGUUCGACUCGUUGAAACACGUGAACAAAAAGUUUUUGUUCAACGAAACUUGUCUUUCCUAUUUUGCCGCGAGUAUUCUAUGGCUUUCUCGACUUUUUCGUUUAGAUCCAAAAGUUUUCUAAAGCUACUUUCUUAAGACAUGAUCCCCUGUAGCACAAUACGUAUUUCUUGGAGUUCAGGAACAUAAAGGGUUUCUUCUAUAGUUCCACUCUCUUCUCAUUUUGUAUCAUCAAAAAACUAUUUAAGUUUGUAACAAUUAUCCAAGUAAUAAGAAAUCUUCUUCUAAAUUAUAAAAAGUUUUCUUUUUUUACAAAGUUUCUUUCUGUCUUCAAACGCUUAAAAACUUUCGCCAUUUUAACAAAGUUUUUCAGUCUAACAGAGAGAUGGGUUUUGGCAGUAUUCAAAGUUUUGGCCGUUUUAGGAUAAGCUGUAGAGAGACACCGAGAGUCAAAACAUUUAAUGCCACGUAUAAACGUAUAAACGUUCGAAUAGUUGAAACACGUGAAUAAAAAAUUCUUGUUCAACGAAACUUGUCUUUCCUAUUUUUGCUGCGAGUAUUAUAUGGGCUUUAUCGACUUUUUCGUUUGGAUCCAAAAGCUCUCUAACACUACUUUCUUAAGGCCCAUUUAAGAUUUUACGUAUAUAAAAAUAUAUAUGCUUUUGAAUAACAUGAUCCCCUGUAUCACAAAAGUUAUUUCUUGAAGUUCAAGAACGUAAAGGGUUCCCUCUAUAGUUGCACUCUCUUCUCAUUUUGUAUCAUCAAGAAACUAUUUAAGUUUGUAACAAUUAUCCAAGUAAUAAGAAAUCUUCUUAUAAAUUAUAAAAAACUUUCUUUUUUACAAUUUUUUUUUCUUUUCAAACACUUAAAUACUUUCACCAUUUUAACAAAUUUUUUCAUUCUACCAGAGAGGUGGGUUUUUUGAAGUAUUCAAUGUUUUGACCGUUUUAGGAUAAGCUGCAUAGAGACACCGAGAGUCAAAACAUUUAAUGGCACGUAUAAACAUAUAAACGUUCGACUCGUUGAAACACGUGAACAAAAAGUUUUUGUUCAACGAAACUUGUCUUUCCUAUUUUGCCGCGAGUAUUCUAUGGCUUUCUCGACUUUUUCGUUUAGAUCCAAAAGUUUUCUAAAGCUACUUUCUUAAGACCCAUUUGAGCUUUUACGUAUAUAAAAAUAUACAUGCUUUUGAAUAAUAUGAUGCACAAAAGUUAUUUUUUGGAAUUCAAGAACGUAAAGGGUUUCCUCUAUAGUUCUACUAUCUUCUCAUUUUAUAUCAUCAAGAAACUAUUUAAGUUUGUAACAAUUAUCCAAGUAUUAAGAAAUCUUCUUCUGAAUUAAAAAAAAAAACUUUCUUUUUUACAAAGUUUAUUUCUUUCUUCAAACACUUAAAACACUUUCGUCAUUUUAACAAAGUUUUUCAUUCUAACAGAGAGGUGGGUUUUUGCAGUAUUCAAAGUUUUGGCGGUUUUAGGAUAAGCUGCAGAGAGACAUCGAGAGCCAAAACAUUUAAUGCCACGUAUCGAAUCGUUGAAACACGUGAACAAAAAAUUCUUGUCUUUCCUAUUUUUACUGCAAGUAUUCUAUAGGCUUUCUCGACUUUUUCGUUUGGAUCCAAAAGCCUUUCUAAAGCUACUUAGUUAAGGCCUAUUUGAGCUUUUACGUAUAUAAAAAAUGUACAUGCUUUUGAAUAUUAUGAUCCCCUGUAGCUCAAAAGUUAUUUCAUGGAGUUCGAGAACGUAAAGGGUUUCCUGUAUAUCAAAAACUCAAUAGAUGGUAAAUGUACAAUAUUCGAUUAGUUUUAACUUAUAACAUUCUAAAAGGUGGGACGUUCCAUUCUUUGUGUUAUAGUCCAAAACUCAAAAUCUAUGUCGUUUGUACAGAAUAAAAAUAUAUAAGUGAUUUUGUUUGGUUCAGACUGAAUAUAGCAACUCUUCUUAAACACAGCUGAGAAGGUAUUGUUGAAAAAAAAAAUUGGUUCGAGAAAACAAAAAUAUCCCUAAAAUUCUUGACGUUAUACUAAUUAGUAAUUACUGUGUGAACGAACAAAAUAUUUACCUUCUUAGACGAAGAAAAAAACUUGAAAUUAGAUAAAUAUCUUAAAGGAAGCAAAGUUUUACAGAUAAUCAUCACAAUUGUCAAUUCUAAAAAAUAAAAAUAGUAAUAGAAACGGGGAAUGCCUAUAGUAGUGCAAUAUGAUUAUAUGAACAAAACUACAUUUGUUUACGUGUUAGGCUGAAUGGUCCAAACAUAUCGAAGCAUUCUUAAUCCUGCUUUUCGCAACGAGUUCCCUUCGUGGGUCCCAAGAAAUUGAGUAAUGUUCUAUGCUUGGCAUCCUAGUGAAUAAUAAUGAUCCAUUUGCGUAUGCUAUUAUAUCUCCAUAGAAGACGGUUUUCUUUGCUACAAGGCUGGGAACAACUUAUGCGACGUUACAUAGUUCCCAAACUUCAGCUGGCCAUUGCAAAAAGCUUCAGAUAAACCCAGCAAACCAUAAUUUAGACCAGUUCAGUGUUGUUAUGAAGUGGGCAUCUGCAAUACCAAUGCAUGUAAUGGCUGAUUUGAUGGAGAGGUUCUUCUUCCCCAACUGACUGGAUGUGUUGUACCAUUGGUUGCGCUCCAAACCUCAGUUUGAAGAGAUCCUCCAUAAAUGUAUUUUAUGAUUCGAAAGUGUUAUUCCCGCAAACGAGAGGAUCCUAAAACCAGUUGAAACGUGUUUUAGUAAUGUUGGUGGAAUAUAUUGAAGGAGUUGAAGUAUCUCAGCCAAGGGCAAGGGCACAAGAGCAGACACACUUUGAGCCAGCUCGAGCUAAGGCUAAGGCUCAGAUGGAUAGCAAUGAGGUGCUGAGUUUGAAAGAAGUCUUGGAAGUAUUUGCUUUUCAAACCUAAACCGAAUAGAACGGACAAUGGUCUUCAGAUUUAUGGGUUUGGGAAUGUGAUUGUGGUUAUAGACUCAGUGAACCAAGACGGCUGGUUGCUUCUAACCCCUGAUUACUUAUUUAGGAUAUUAUUAAAUAAAAUAAAUAAAUUAAUUAUAUACUAUUAAAUAAAAUAAAUGAAUUAAUUAUAUAUUUUCCUUAAUUUUAUAAAUUAUAAAUGCAAAUGCUCUCAUAUGAGAGCAUCGAUUAGAGAGCAUUUGGAGUGCAUUAGCAUUUAGUAAAUGUUUUUCUAACAAUUGUUGAUUGGAUAAUGUAGAGCAUAAUGCUAAUGUUAAUGCUCUACCAAUCGAUGUCAUAAUUAGCUAAACCAUUUUAGGAAAUAUUUUAAAAACGGCGUGGAGUUUUAAGGAAGGAUCGCACUUCAUGUCGUUGUUGAUACGCAUCGGUGUCGGGGAAGAGCUCCCGGAACAAGGAAGAGACUUUUUGUCAAAGUGCUUGGUUAAAGAUCCCAAGAAGAGAUGGACCACUAUCCAACGAACAUCUCCGAAAGACACUCUAUAACUUCAAAUAUAAAGUUUUUUGCUCUCCAAAAAGUAACUUCAAAACUUCAAAUUAAAAAGUAAAACUUUAUAACGGGAAGUUAUAAUAAAAGUGAUUUUAUAAUAAUUUAUGAAGUAAUUUAAAAUUAUGAUAGAUUAAAAAAUAUUAUAAACAAAAAAAAUAAUGAAAGACUUAUGAGAUCAUUAUAAUUAUUAUUUUUUGUUUUGAAUUAUAAUGACAGUAAAUUUCACUAUUCUCUGAUAAAUAACAUUAUAUUUUUAAUAUUUAUUUUAAUUCAAAUGUUAUGUUUUAUAAUAUUCUUUUAAACUAACUUAUUUAAGGGUUUUUUUUUGCGAAUAUGAUUCAAAACUUGAAGUUAUUCCUAAAGUAAUUCAUUCUUUUUUUUUGUGAUGUAAUUGUAUAUUCCCUUUGUAUGUAUGUUUUGUAAAAUUUUGUUAAGAGAAGUAUAUAAUAAUGUUUAUGGGUUUUGAGAAUUUUAGGGUGUCGAAGGAUUAUUUAUGUUAAGAUUAGUUAUAUUUGAGUUAAAAAAAUUUAAUGAGGGGGUUCAUUGAAUGAUUUAAUGUGAUAGUCAAUGAGGUUGCAUGAAUCCAACCAACUUCCAUAACGGUUCCAAAAUUCAACCAAGGGUAGAAGAAGCGGAAUCAAACAGCCAAAUACGAUGCCUUCCAACUGACCUUGAUCGGAAUUCAGCAUGGCCGGUGCAGCAAAUCUUCAUUGCCCGUAGGUUUGAACCGGAGUUGUUAAAACGCAGCAGAUCUGUCUUUCAUUCGUCGAUAUUAUUUUUGAAGAAUAAGCCGUCUCAUGUGGGACUCCCUCAUGUGUUACCCUACAGCCCAAAAACCCAAUUAUGUUAAAGCCCAAAACACUGAUCUGAAAUAUUUAUUAACAAAAAGAGAAAAGCUCAUUAAUAAUUGUGAUUAAGUGAAACGGUGAGUAUAAUCGAACGUGGACACAUGUCGGCCUGUCAGGAACCAACUUUAUUACGUGGCAAAGCAAGAGUGAGGUGAACAUAUUUUUAUAUAGAUAGAUAGAUAUCGAAUAUAUUCACGAGUAUUAAUAUCAUCAAAAAGAAAUUAGUCUUUUAGUAAUAUUUUAUGUUUCUCUUUUAAUUUCUUGUUCCGAUCUUAUGUAUUUACAAGUAUCAAUAUCACCUGAUUUCAACAACUUUUAGCUCGUAAUCUACAAAGUAAAAAUGAGGAAAGUCAUUUUUAUUUUGAAAUGCACUAAUAGAUCAUAUAUGCAUUAGGAAAAUCAUAUAAGAUAAUAUGAUAUUUUGUUUGAAGUUUAAUAUUAAUUAAGUUGUUUUUAUUUAAAUUUUUAUAGAAUAUUUUAUUUAUUAAUAUUAUUGUAAUAUGUUUAUAUAUGUGCUAGUUAUUUAUAAAAAAUAUGAAUUUAAAUUAGUUAUGACAAAUAUAAAGUCAAUUUUAUAAAAUAAAAUAAUUUUAAAAUUAAGUCUGAAAUUUUGCUUUUAGAAAAGAACACAUUUUUCAGAGAUGCUCUAAGACCAAUAAACCAAUGAGUGCGUUACAUCAUCAGACACAUUAUUCUCUUUUUUUACAAGAUAAAGCACUUUCCACUUGAGAGACACAUUGUCCUCUUCCACCCCUUGUGGUUUUACAGCAGUACCCUUCACGUUUGGUUCAGAGAAACUAGAGGAUGGCUGCAUUUUUUUAUUUUAUUUAUUUUUUCUCAACUUUUUCUUUGUUCUUUUUGCAAAGUUCUUAUGUUUUUAUUUGUUUUUUUCUCAGAGUUUAAGACAUUUGAAGAAAGUAUAAUUAUUACAAUAAAUUGUAAUUUGUUUUUCUCUAUAUUUUAACAUCCAUUUUCAUAUAUAUAUUUUAUAUAUUUCAACAAUUAUAUAAAAAAAUGUAUGGACAUAAGAAGUGUGGAUGCAAAAUUGUGAACAUGUAAGAAAAAUACGUGAACAUAAAAAGAUGUGGACAUGGAUGGAUAAAAAAUAUAGAAAAUCUCUUUACAAUUUUCGUGGAUGAGGUUUCAUGAACUAAGUUUCAUUGAUGUGUUUUCUUGGACAAGUUUUUAUAUUCUUAAUCAUCUUACAUAAUUUUUUAGUAUCUGUGGACAAGUACUUUAUGCAUACCAUAUUGAUACCUUAUUGUGGAUAAUAUAGUUAUAAUAUAAUUAUGGACAUGGACACAAAAACUAUGGACAUGGAUAUCAUAUUUCUUUCUCCAUCAAACAGAAAAAAACUGGAUAAAGCAAUCUAAAGAGAUUUGUCAGGUCCAUAUUCGACUAACAAUUACAAAAACAUAAGCUUUCUAACGUACGCUAAUAAAAAUUGUUUAGACACACUAUAUAAGCUAACCAGAAGCCUAAGUCAAAGCCUGGGAAAAACUAAGAGGUACCUCUUUUCCUGAGCUUAUUGGGAACCAUACGUGUAGAUUCAUGGAGUUUUGUAUACCGAACUCGUUACCAUCUAACUUCUUCCACGGCGUAAACUUAUCUUUACUCUUUCUUGCUCUCAUUAAAAUCUUCCAUUCUUUUGCAUGACAAAACACACACACACAAGAAUUUCACAAGCCUUGUUAGAAUCAAAUUCUAUUGGUGUUGUAUUGAAUGAAGCACGAAACUCACCAAAACUUUCUUCUUUGUGUAGUUUCACGAGACAUCUUGGUGCUGUGAUAGCUCCAGCACAUCCACAAUAUCUGAAAAAGUUCCAAAUUUUUUGGGCAGUUACUAUAGAUUUAACCAAUUACAAUCAAAGAAAAGAGAUGGAGAUUUAACCAAUGAACAACACUCCAGAUAUGAGAUUUUGUCAUAUCCAAAUCUUGACUGAAAUUGCUUUAACAAAGGGUUCCCAAAUUAGCCAAAAAAGCAAACUAACUAACCUUGCAUUUAGAAAUCUGUUGCUCACGGGAGCAGGUGUGGGGGCUUUGUUCGACGGUGGGCCGGUGGCUCAGAGACUACCGCUACGAAACAGAUAAAUGUGGAGAAGAAAAUGAUUUUGAUUCGCGAAUGAUUUACGGAGUGAGGGACUGAAAUGGAUUAGGGUGAGAAAAUGACAAUGAAUUGCAACCAUAGAAAAUCUAACAAAUAAGAUUAGGGUUCGUGAACUGGGAAUUUGGGAAAGUGACUUUCUUUGUUUUCUUUAAAUCAGCAAAUUAAAAAAAAAAAAAAACUAAAGCACAAAAAAGUAAAAAGAUAGCGAGAAUGAGGUGCUGGUUAAGAGGGUAUCAUGGACAUUACACAAGUAGAAUGUGUGUUGCAAGUGGAAUGUGUCUUAUUGUGAUAUUGUAAAGUCAAAAUGUGUCUGUGAGUGUAAAUUUUUCUAAACCAAUUGUAAGACAUUGAAUUGGUCAAUGAAAAAAAGUUGAUGUUGAAUAAAAAAAAUAAAAAAGAGAUGGACCGCUCAGAUGCUUCUAAACCAUCCAUUCGUCGUAGCCGUCGAUCUUGAUCACGACGACAUUGGUGAUAGAAAGUAAAGAAAUCGAUGUUCAGGUGAAAACAGAGGACGUGUCCGAGAUGCCCAUUCGAAUUCUACGAUAGGGUUUCUGCUUCUUCCGAUUCAGGAACGCAGUAUCAACCUUUCGAUUCGCCGGAGGAGAGGAUUGCGAGUCUGGCGACUGAUUUAAUCCUUGAUUGGUCUGUCACCAGUAACUGGGUCACCCACCCGUGUAUGGUAACGGUUGUGCUUAAAAAACAGAGUUGCAGUGAAAGGCUAGAGCUUCUUUUUUUUUUAAUGUUCAUCCAGCUAUUCAAAGAUUAAUUUAUUGGUAAACUGUUUGUCAAUAUAGAUACCAGUUCUUGUAUUCUUGAGCUAUGGUUUUGAUUAUAUUCAGUAUAUGGAAAUACCAGAUUUGUUUUCAUUAUCCCUAGUCUUCAAAAUUUACUUGUAAAAUAAGUAUAUUAAGACUCUUGGACAAGGCUCGUGGCCACCACAGGACAGCUUACUUCAAACUUAGCGUCUUCGUCAUCAACCCAACUCACAACUCCAUAAACCACGUCCCCUCGCAACGCUCUCUGACUCUCCAACCUCACAGUGUAGCUUUGCUUCUCGUUUUUCUUGCUGAACAUUACUCUCUUUGGCUCUAUGACAACGUUUAUACCUUUCAACCCUCUCACUCUCACGCUAUAGCUUCUCUUUGCUUCCCCCACAUUUGUCAACGUUCUUCUAACGAUCUUAGGACCGUUUUGAUCUGAAGUGAAGUAUGCAAUGAUCGAAGGGUAAUUGAGAUAUGGAGAUGGGUGUCUGCACGCGUCGGAUACAUUUGAUCUCGUGAUGAUAUUAAUCAAUUUCCCGGACUGUUUAACCUCGUGACAAAGGAAGUUAAUAAAAUCUUGUGGGGAUGUGUCAUAGAUUAAGCCAGGGCUCAGGACUCUGUCCGCACGCACGUGUCCUGCUCCAACGGCUAAAGGGUUGCUUAAAGUCAAAGCCGUUGUCAUAAUUGCUGAUUUUAUAGCCGAGGGACUCCAGUCUUGAUGGACUUGCUUUAUAAGCGCAGCGACUCCAGCUACAUGAGGUGAAGCCAUUGAUGUCCCGGUUAAGAGAUUGAAUCCGCUGAACAACGGUCGCGCUCUAGUACCCGCCACUGGUUUAGCCGGUGGCCAAGCUGAGAGUACGAGUGUCCCAGGAGCUAAAAUGUCCGGUUUGAGGAUCUGAGGGAAGCUUGCGAACGGACCUCUCGAGCUGUAACUGUCUACCUCAGGUGCUGGUUUUGUCCCGAUCACCGUUUUGCGAAACUCCAGCUUCGCGGUGGCGUUGUUGUUGUAUCCUGAUGCGUAGCUUUUGAUAGCUUCUCGGUGUUUGGAGCUGAUGAAUGCUACCGGAAACUGGAACUUGACUGUGUCUUGCUCCGCAAGUAACCUAUCUGUUAUUAUUACCACUGCAGUAGCUCCAGUGGAUCUGGCUUGUUGAAUGUUUCCGUUACAGACAAUGAUCCUGCUCAUUAGAGUCUUGUUUCCUGCAUCGCAAGACUCGACGUACGUUACCGGAAACUGAACCGACGGGAACUCUCCGGGAAACAGAGACGGAAAACUGAAACUAACUCCGUUUCCCAACGUUAAGAUCCCUCGAAACUCGCGACUGAUUGUCCCCGCUCCAACCGUCAUAACCCACGGCGCUCCGUUAAUCAAACUCCAGUAAUACGGCCCGUCGUUACCACCAGACGCAACAACGAAAACGCCUUUUUGAACCGCUGCAAACGCUGCGACUGCGAUUGGAUCGUUUUCUAGACCCACAUCGUCGUCCUCAUCAAUGCUUAGUCCCAGUGAUAAAGAUAUCACAUCGACUCCAUCUCGAACCGCUUGAUCAAUCGCUGCGAUCACGUCUGACGAGUAGACGCCUUCCUCCCAAGCAGCUUUAUACAUCGCUAUGUGUGCGUGCGGCGCGAUUCCUGAAGCGGUUCCUUGCGCGUAAGAGAAGUAAGACGCGUUUUUGACGUGAUUCCCAGCCGCAAUGGCCGCAACAUGAGUGCCGUGUCCGAUUGUAUCGUAAGGUGAAGAGUAUUGAUCCUUCUUGGUACCUCUCAAGUUAGGGUUGUUGGCGAACAAGCCCUUGUUGAAAACCCUAGCUCCGAUUAGUUUCUUGUUGCACAAGGAAGAGUAAUUGAAUUCACAUUUGCCUUUCCAUGUAGAGGGGACCGAACCAAGCCCAUCGUCAUGAAAGCUGGGGUGGUCCGGCCAGAUUCCGGUAUCGACUAUACCAAUAACCGUACCGGCUCCAUAACUCGAGACCGGCCAUGUACCGGAAUUUGAAGCAAGACCGAUGAAUUGUGGAGAGAAAGUGGUAUGGAGCUUAACCGGUAAAUCUUUGGUGAAAGAGACAUACCCGGGUUUGUGUUGAAGACGUUUGAGCUCGGAGUUGGUGAGAACCGCGCUAAACCCGUGAACCGAAUCCGUAUAAGCGUAGAGAAUCUUUGGUUUUCUUCCGGUGGUAACCGAAGUGAGAGUCGUGGAAAACCAACUCUGGUGAUCGGUAAAAGGUACCGGUUUGGCGGAUAAGUCCAUGUGGAUGAUGUAAAUAGAGGUCUCCGUUGUUGCUGUGGUUACGGAGAAAGGGAUGAGAAGAAGAAUCAUGACAGUGAACGCCAUGUCUGAGAGCACAGCUUUCUCUCUGGUCUCUCAAGAGUCAAGAAGACUGAGAGAAACUUGGUCUUAAUGUAGUUAAGAAAUAAUUAAACUGGAUUGUUUUAUUUUUUAGGUAUGACACAAAACUUUGCUUCUCUUUUGCUUUUGCUGUUAAAAACAGUAUUAGGUGGUGCCAAUGGUGGACAAACACAUCUCAUCAUCAUUGUUUCUUUUGACUUUUUCUUUUUCUACCGGCUUAUUUACAAUUAAGUUUCUGAAAAUUGAUGUUUAUACGCAUUCUUUACUAGAUAAACUCUUAUAAAUAUCAAUGUUAGAAAAAUUGUUAGGCAGUGAUUAAACUUCUUGUAGAAGAUUAUUGUUUAUGCAGACUUUUUGAAUGUUUAUACCAAAAUUUUAAAUGAUUGUUUUUUUUAAAUGUUUUUAAGAAAUUGUUUUGUGUAGACUCAAUUUUCUAACUAAACAUGCACCUAAACACCAUCUAAACCGAUUUUUAGAAUACAUACUAUAUCAUGCAUAUUUGAUUCCACAAAGAAAUUUCUAGUAAAUUUGCUUAACCAUACAUAUGAAUUCAUUGUAUUUCUUCUUGCAGCUACAAUGUGUAGUAUGCUAUGUUGCACAAAAGCUUCAUUGGACUUACACUUCCCGCUUCAUAAUCGAAAGCAGAACUUUGUGGAUGGCUUAUGAAAUUUCGCUUCUAAAAUGCUUUAAAAUAUCAUAUUUAAAAAUACGUUGGAAAGUUACGAUUCAGUUUUGGAAUCACGCUUUCUUUUUCUUUUUAGAAAAAACAAUAUCAUAAAUAAAGAAAAAAUAUAAAAUAAUUUUUUAUGUUUUUAUGUAAAAUCUAAAAUUUAAUAAUACUAAAUUGAGAGAAUAUAAAUAUGCAAAUAUUAAAACUAAUACUAUAAAUUAUCUUUAUGCACUGAACUUUUUUAUUAUAGAUAUAAUAUAUGGCAAUUCUCUCAAAUAAAUAUUUUUAAGUUUUUGUCACAAAAAUAACCCUCAAAAAAGAAAAUGAUCAAAAAGUCUUUUUUAUUUUGAAAAUUUUAAUAUUUAUUUUUUAUUUUUUAAAAUUUGAAACCCUAUACUCAAAACUUCACCUUUAACUCUAAAGUCUAAGAUAAAAACAUAUUUUUACCCUUUAAUAACAUACGGUUCCGAUUCGGCUUACCCAUUUUUUGAUUCCAUGUAACAUAGUUGGUAUGAAUUACGUCAAAUAAUUUAUGGAAGUAUGAAAGAAUCAAUCAAUUUUUCUCAGAAAGAAGAAAGUAUGAAUCAAUUCGAAAAUUAACGAGUUGAGAAAAGCAGGAUGUAAAAAAUUAAAAAAGUCUUGAACUUGGAGAAGAUAAAUUGAAGGUAGUGUAAAACACAGAAUAAAGCCCAUUAAUAUUAGUCUUAUCGGGCUUGAAAAGUAUCAACUGGCGCCAAAAUAAAAUAGAUUUUCCCGCAAUCUCUCUAUCGACCUAAACCUAUAAAUUGGGAUACUCAGCUUCGCCCCCAAAUCAGAAGAAACUGCUGAAAAAAUGUCAGGCGACAAUUCGACGGAGGUUGAACGAAAACGUCGCAGAGCCGCGGAGGCGUCGAGUUGGAAGAAUUCGGUAGAGCGACAGAAAGCGAUUCGGCAAGGAGGACUUGGGAACCUAUGGGCUUCAGGUGGUGGCUACGAUGAUAUUAAACUGGAACAGCCAAUUGAAGAUGGUGAUGAGUACGACGCAAUUGUAUCCCUGCGGCGGCGUGGGUUUGUAGGUGAGGAGGAGGACUGGUCGAAGCCCAGUGGGCCUGAGUCGACUGAUGAAUCGGAAGAUGAUGGUGGAUUUAGCGGGAGAGUGAAGAAGAAAGGAAAAGAAGAAGCAGCGCAGGUUAAGAAGGUGAAUCCUUGGCUUAAGGCUGCAGCUACUAUAUCGAGUUUGAAGAAGCUUUCUUCGGUUCAGAUUGAAUGUGGGGAGAGAGAUGCAUGGUUAUCCAUGGAGCUCAUGUUUCAUCUAAGUGUUCUUCCUCUCACUCUCCAGCUUACUAACAUAAGUGGCAAUCUCUGGGGGAAAACUCUUCAAGUAGUGGCUCCUCUCUCUAUCCCUCAAACACGUUACGCGCUGGUGCAUUCUGAUUUUUCUUUCUAUUCGUUACCAGGGAUCCAGGGCGCAGAGAAUUGAAUACUACUUACUACAUACAUUCCACUCGAGAAAGUACAUCCUCCCAGACAAAAUUUCGCAACGUAUGAAGGAUAUUAUAAAGUCAUCAAAAAGAAGAAUCAGCCAUGGUGAAUUGGAUGCUGACUUGGCUUUGGAGAAUGAUCCGUCUAAGAAGGGUCCAGGCUACGCUGGUGGACUGGUGUUGGAACCAAAGAAAGGGUUAUAUGACAAAUAUGUGGUGCUUCUUGACUUCAAUAGUCUUUACCCGUCUAUUAUACAGGUUAGCAGCAGACUGUUUUCUAUUCUCAAGCUGUUUCCAUUUGAUUUUACACAACAACGGGUAAUGAUCAUUUCAGGAAUAUAAUAUAUGUUUCACGACUGUGCCACUGUCAGAAGACGGAGUUCCUCGUUUACCUUCGAGCCAGACACCUGGAAUUCUUCCAAAGGUAUUAGGAUUGUAUUAGUGAUUGCUCCAUUCUCUAGUUCAAUUCUAAUCUGUAGUCUUUCUUUUAGUUGAUGGAAUAUUUGGUCAGUAUAAGGAAACGUGUCAAACAAAACAUGAAGAAGGAAACAGGUCUCAAGUACUGGGAGCUUGACAUUCGGCAGCAGGCAUUAAAACUCACAGCCAAUAGGUUUUGUGUUUAAUGGUUUUAGCUUCUUCUGCUGGCAAUAAUGCCCCAACAUUUUGCCGCAUUUUGAUAGUAAUGUUUCAUUCUAAACGCAGUAUAUACGGAUGUCUGGGGUUCUCUGAUUCAAGAUUCUACGCUAAGCCUUUAGCAGAGCUCAUAACACUACAGGUAAAGUUAUGCUUUUUCUCUGGUUUUUUUUUUCUUUCUGUUCUCAUGAGAUCCGGUUAAUUCUCUAACAUUGCAGGGAAGGGAGAUCCUGCAAAGAACCGUGGAUCUUGUACAGAAUCAUUUAAACCUAGAGGUAUCACCUAGUCGCACUAAAUGCAUUUCAGUAGAGGAAAUAAUGUAAUGUGUCAACAUGUUGGGGAAUAUUGAACAUGUAUGCAGGUGAUUUAUGGUGACACAGAUUCAAUCAUGAUUCACAGUGGACUAGAUGAUAUGGAAGAGGUCAAAACCAUUAUAACAAAAGUCAUCCAAGCGGUAGGUUGGAUAAUAGCUUUUUACCCUUAAAACAAAGCUAUAUAUGAUUUAAACCAAUAUUCAUUUAAUGUUUGCAACUUUAAUGUUCGAUUUAUGCAUGAAAGACAAUGGAUAAACUCAACCACCUGGAAUUCUUCCAAAGGUAUUAGGAUUGUAUUAGUGAUUGCUCCAUUCUCUAGUUCAAUUCUAAUCUGUAGUCUUUCUUUUAGUUGAUGGAAUAUUUGGUCAGUAUAAGGAAACGUGUCAAACAAAACAUGAAGAAGGAAACAGGUCUCAAGUACUGGGAGCUUGACAUUCGGCAGCAGGCAUUAAAACUCACAGCCAAUAGGUUUUGUGUUUAAUGGUUUUAGCUUCUUCUGCUGGCAAUAAUGCCCCAACAUUUUGCCGCAUUUUGAUAGUAAUGUUUCAUUCUAAACGCAGUAUAUACGGAUGUCUGGGGUUCUCUGAUUCAAGAUUCUACGCUAAGCCUUUAGCAGAGCUCAUAACACUACAGGUAAAGUUAUGCUUUUUCUCUGGUUUUUUUUUUCUUUCUGUUCUCAUGAGAUCCGGUUAAUUCUCUAACAUUGCAGGGAAGGGAGAUCCUGCAAAGAACCGUGGAUCUUGUACAGAAUCAUUUAAACCUAGAGGUAUCACCUAGUCGCACUAAAUGCAUUUCAGUAGAGGAAAUAAUGUAAUGUGUCAACAUGUUGGGGAAUAUUGAACAUGUAUGCAGGUGAUUUAUGGUGACACAGAUUCAAUCAUGAUUCACAGUGGACUAGAUGAUAUGGAAGAGGUCAAAACCAUUAUAACAAAAGUCAUCCAAGCGGUAGGUUGGAUAAUAGCUUUUUACCCUUAAAACAAAGCUAUAUAUGAUUUAAACCAAUAUUCAUUUAAUGUUUGCAACUUUAAUGUUCGAUUUAUGCAUGAAAGACAAUGGAUAAACUCAACUUUAAUAUUAUAGGUCAAUAAGAAGUACAGAUGUCUGAAAAUUGACUGUGAUGGCAUAUAUAAGAGAAUGCUUAUUCUAAGAAAAAAGAAGUAUGCUGGCGUCAAGUUGCAGUUCAAGGACGGGCAGACUUGCGAGGUAUAAUAUUUAAUUUACACAUCCUGGCUACCUUUUCUUUUUUUUUCUUAGAAAAUAUUUGAGGAUACUAAACGCAUUGUUGGUCAAUGCAGGAAAUUGAAAGAAAAGGUGUGGAUAUGGUUCGUCGAGACUGGAGCUUACUCUCCAAGGAAAUUGGAGACUUAUGCUUGGCUAAGAUCUUUUAUGGAGGGUAUGUUCUAAAUCAUUCACUCACUCAAGAAUAUUUACUUUUUACUCUCUCAUGCAAACAUACAAUCAUCUUUUCAGGUCGUGUGAGGAUGUUGUUGAAGCAAUUCAUAACGAACUUGUGAAGGUAAUCUUUUCUUUAUAAACGUUUGUUAAUCAGUUUGCUCUUCUUUUUCAUCUUUUACAUGUUGCAACAGAUAAAAGAGGAAAUGAGAAAUGGGCAAGUUGCACUUGAGAAGUAUGUCAUCACCAAGGCAUUGACUAAACCACCAGAAGCUUAUCCAGAUUCCAAAAGCCAACCACACGUUCAAGUAAGUAUGAGAGCUAUUAUUUCUCUCUCACUGGACUUUUCACAUCUUCACUAAACUUUGAGUGUGCUUCUCAGGUCGCACUCAGAAUGAGGCAACGUGGUGUUAAAGAAGGUUUCAAUGCCAAGGAUACUGUACCUUAUAUAAUCUGCUAUGAACAGGUUCCCAAACCAGAAGACCACCAGCUUAAUAUUAUCCCAAAUCCAAUCGUCUUCCUAGUAAAAAUUUUGUUUCCUUCCCUUCCUUGUGUGCAGGGUAAUGCUAGCUCUGUCAGCUCAGCAGGGAUUGCCAAACGCGCUAGGCAUCCUGAUGAGGUGAAGUCAGACGACAGCAGAUUGUUGGUUGACAUAGAUUACUACUUGGCACAGCAGAUUCAUCCCGUGGUGUCUCGUCUGUGCGCAGAGAUUCAGGGCACAAGUCCUGAGAGGUUAGCCGAGUGUUUAGGACUUGACCCAUCAAAGGUAAAAAAACAAUUUUCAUUUAAAGCCAACUCUCCAAUUCUGAUAGAUGAUUAGAAAUAUUGUUUUCUAUAGUAUCGAAGCAACGAUGCUACGAGCAGUGAUCCUUCUACAUCCCUCUUGUUUGCUACAAGCGAUGAAGAAAGGUAAUGAAUGCUAUCUUUGUAAUAAUAUAUUUCCUCCAGGAAUCUGCAACAACGCGCGUAAUUUACAUGUACAAUAAAAAAACGCAGAUAUAAAAGCUGUGAGCCGUUAACACUAACAUGCCCCAGCUGCUCUGCUUCUUUCAACUGUCCAUCUAUUACUAGUUCAGUUUGCACGUCGAUCAGUAAUAAAUCUGAAACAGAGGAAUCUACAUUCUGGCUUAGACUGCAUUGCUCGAAAUGCAGGGGAAUAAUAUCCCCUGCAAUGAUAGCUAAUCAGGUAGGCAAUCAUUUUUCUUUAUGUGGAUGAUGUAAAUAGAGGUCUCCGUUGUUGCUGUGGCUACGGAGAAAGGGAUGAGAAGAAGAAUCAUGACAGUGAUCGCCAUGUCUGAGAGCACAGCUUUUCUCUCUGGUCUCUCAAGAGUCAAGAGUCAAGAAGACUGAGAGAAGCUUGGUCUUAAUGUAAUUAAGAAACUGGAUUGUUUUAUUUUUUAGGUAUGACACAAAAGUUGUAGGGAGAGAUUGUAACCUUUGUUUCUCUUUUGCUUUUGCUGUUAAAAACAGUAUUAGGUGGUGCCAAUGGUGGACAAACACAUCUCAUCAUCAUUGUUUCUUUUGACUUUAUCUUUUCUACCGGCUUAUUUACAAUUAAGUUUCUGAAAAUUGAUGUUUAUAAGCAUUCUUUACUAGAUAAACUCUGAUAAAUAUCAAUGUUAAAAAAAAAAAUUUGUUAGGCAUUGGUUAAACUUCUUAUAGAAGACUAUUGCUUAUACGGACUUUUUGAAUGUUUAUACCAAAAUUUUAAACGAUUGUUUUAAAAAAAAAUGUUUUUAAAAAAUUGUUUUGUGUAGACUCAAUUUUCUGACUAAACAUGCACCUAAGCACCAUCUAAACCGAUUUUUAGAACAUAUACUAUAUCAUGCAUAUUUGAUUCCACAAAGAAAUUUCUAGUAAAUUUGCUUAACUAUACAUAUGAAUUAAUUGUAUUUCUUCUUGCAGCUACAAUGUGUAGUAUGCUAGGUUGCACGAAAGCUUCGUUGGACAUACAUUUCCCACUUUAGAAUUUGAAGCAGGACCUUGUGGAUGACUAAUGAAAUUUCGCUUCUAAAACGCUUCAAAAUAUCAUAUUUAAAAAUACGUUGGAAACUUACGAUUCUAUUUUGGAAUCACACUUCCAUUUUUUUUAGAAAAACAAUAUCAUAAAUAAAGAAAAAAUAUAAAAUAAUGUUUUAUGUUUUUAUGUAAAAUUUAAUAAUACUAAAUAGAGAGAAUAUAAAUAUGCAAAUAUUAAACCUUUUUUUUUUUUUUUUUUGUUCAAAAUGCAAAUAUUAAACCUAAUACUAUAAAUUAUCUUUAUGCACUGAACUUUUUUAUUAUAGAUAUAAUAUAUAUAUAUAUAUAUAUCCGCUUUCUAAUUUGAUUUGAAAUAUCUCGCUUCUACGUUUCCGUACGGUUCUGAUUCCGCAUACCCAUUUUUUUGAUACCAUGUAACAUAGCUAGUAUGAAUUACGUCAAAUAAUCUAUGGAAGUAUGAAAGAAUCAAUCAAUUUUUCUGAAAAAGAAGAAAGUAUGAAUCAAUUUGAAAAUUAACGAGUUAAGAAAAGCAGGAUGUAUAAGAAAAUUAAAAAAAUCUUAAACUUGGAGAAAAUAAAUUGAAGCUAAUGUAAAACAUAAUAAAGCCCAUUAAUAUUAGGCUUAUCGGGCUUGAAAAUAUCAACUGGCGCCAAAAUAAAAUAGAUUUCCCCGCUCUCUCUAUCGACCUAAACCUAUAAAUUGGAUACUCAGCUUCGCCCCCAAAUCAAAAGAAACUGAAAAAAAUGUCAGGCGACAAUUCGACGGAGGUUGAACGAAAACGUGGCAGAGCCGCGGAGGAGGCGUCGAGCUGGAAGAAUUCCGUAGAGCGACUGAAAGCGAUUCGGCAAGGAGGACUUGGGAACCUAUCGGCUUCAGGUGGUGGCUACGAUGAUAUUAAACUGGAACAGCCAGUUGAUGAUGGUGAUGAGUACGACGCAAUUGUAAAAUGUGAGGGUAUUCUUGAAGAGGUUUUAGCAAAGGUUAAUCCAGACGAUAUGGAUAGAGAAAGACAUAGGAGAAGGAAACAAGCAGCUACUGUUCCAAUUAAGAUACAUGAUUCAGACGAUAAGUGUGAUCACGUUGCCAUGGAGAAUGAGUUGAUGAAAGAAGAUGUGACAGAUUCUGUAGUCACCACCCUUCCGCAGACUUGUGAGAAUAUGGAAUUACCUACAAGUGAUAGCGAGGGAUCAAACAAUAUAAGACAGAGUGAAGAAGCUAAGGCAGAGUCAGGAGUGAAGAAGGAAGCCAUUUGCAAAGGUGGAACUGAGAAUGGGGCGGAAUUUGAUUUGGAUGCUGAUGGGUCACUUCGUUUUUACAUUCUUGACGCUUAUGAGGAGGCUUUUGGUGCGAGUAUGGGCACAGUAUAUCUGUUUGGGAAGGUCAGUCUGUUGGAAUUUCACUCAUUUUAGCUCUUCUUUGGCCUUCUGGUUAAUAUAGAGAUUAAUCCGGCUACCCUCUUUCAGGUUAAAAUGGGAGAUACGUACAAGAGUUGCUGUGUGGUUGUUAAGAAUAUCCAGAGAUGUGUUUAUGCUAUUCCAAAUGGUUCCAUAUUCCCUUCCCAUGAACUUUUUAUGCUCCAGCAAGAGGUGAAACUUUCUCCUGAAUCCUUCCGGGUGAAGAAGUUACAUGUGAGUGUCACUACAUGCUAAUUAAUACGAAACAAUAUCUUAUCCUAUUGUUUUUUGACCUUUGUCAUUCUCAGGAAAUGGCAUCCAAACUGAAGAACGAAAUUUCUCAGCAAUUGUUACGACUCAACGUUUCAAAUUAUAGCAUGGCACUUGUCAAGGUUUGUGUAUUUUACUUACUUACUUUUCAUGCAGCAAAACUUUUCUUAUGAGACUCUCUCCUCUCCUUAUCAGAGAAGCUAUGCAUUUGAGAAGCCUGAUGUGCCAGCUGGCGAGCAAUAUGUUUUGAAGAUUAAUUAUCCAUUUAAGGUGGUGCAUUUUAGCUUUAAAGUCGCUCUAAAAUUGUCUUACUUGUUUUGUUUGUUUGUUUGUUUGUUAUGUUAAAUCUAUUACAUCUCAACACCUGUCUCUGUUAUCAUAGGAUCCUGCACUUCCACAAGACCUUAAAGGGGAGUCUUUUUGCGCUGUGCUAGGCUCUCACACCAGGUCUUAGUUUCUUACUUACCUUUCCCUGUUUUGAUAGUUGAUCGGUUCAUUUUGGUCUUUUCUAAGCUUCUUAUUUAACUAUGUAUGUAUGCCAAUUUAGCAAUAUGCCUUUUUUUCUCUGCUUAUUAAGUUAAUUUAAAUGCAGUGCUUUGGAACUUUUUAUCCUUAAAAGGAAGAUCAUGGGACCUUCUUGGCUGAAAAUUUCAAACUUCUCUACCAGUUUACCUUCUCAACGAGUAAAGCCUACCAUGAUUAUCUUGCUAGUUAUUUCUAUUUGUGUUUGUUUAUCUCCAAUAAUGAGGACUUGACACUUGUGCAGGUGAGCUGGUGCAAGUUUGAGGUUACUGUUGAAUCUCCCAAGGUUAUCACUGGUUUCGCUCCGGAGGAAAAAGUGGUUCAUCCUCCUGCUGUCGUCACAGCUAUAAAUUUAAAGACUAUAGUCAAUGAAAAGCACAACAUCAGCGAAAUUAUUUCCGCCUCUCUUCUCUGUUUUCACAACGCCAAGGUUUGUUCUACAACAUUUGACCAAUGCUUUUGACCAAUGUCAUGAGGUUCGUCACCUCGAUGGUUACCGUUCACAAGUAGUUUAUUUGUACGAUGUGUAUUGUGUUUAAGCUGGUUUGUGAAAUGUUUUAAUUUUCUUGCUCAAAUGACACUCUCUUAGUAGCUUGACAUUUUAUGUCCUUUGGUGUUUCAGAUUGACGUUCCAAUGGCAGGUCCAGAGAGAAAGAGAUGUGGUAUUCUGAGUCAUUUCACUGUUGUUAGGAAUCCUGAAGGAACCGGCUGGAAGAAAGAAGUGGCUGACAGAAAUUCAAAGAAGGGCUGCAGUGUUUUAAGUUUUGAAAACAGGUAUUAUUCCGCAGCUCUCUUGUUGUGUAGGAGGCUGGUGCUUCAUCCAACAUAUUUUUUUUUUUUUUGCUUUCUUACUGCAGUGAAAGAGCUUUGCUGAACCUCUAAGACACUUGUGGAACUUGUAAGUUCUUUAAUUAGUCUGUUUUAUGCAUUAGAGCUGGUACUACCUCACUAGGGACACUAGACAUAAAGGAUUUUUGGCUUUCUUCGGUUCAGAUUGAAUGUGGGGAGAGAGAUGCAUGGUUAUCCAUGGAGCUCAUGUUUCAUCUAAGUGUUCUUCCUCUCACUCUCCAGCUUACUAACAUAAGUGGCAAUCUCUGGGGGAAAACCCUUCAAGUAGUGGCUCCUCUCUCUAUCCCUCAAACACGUUAUGCGCUGGUGCAUUCUGAUUUUUCUUUCUAUUCGUUACCAGGGAUCCAGGGCGCAAAGAAUUGAGUACUACUUACUACAUACAUUCCACUCGAGAAAGUACAUCCUCCCAGACAAGAUUUCGCAACGUAUGAAGGAUAUUAUAAAGUCAUCAAAAAGAAGAAUCAGCCAUGGUGAAUUGGAUGCUGACUUGGCUUUGGAGAAUGAUCCGUCUAAGAAGGGUCCAGGCUACGCUGGUGGACUGGUGUUGGAACCAAAGAAAGGGUUAUAUGACAAAUAUGUGGUGCUUCUUGACUUCAAUAGUCUUUACCCGUCUAUUAUACAGGUUAGCAGCAGACUGUUUUCUAUUCUCAAGCUGUUUCCAUUUGAUUUUACACAACAACGGGUAAUGAUCAUUUCAGGAAUAUAAUAUAUGUUUCACGACUGUGCCACUGUCAGAAGACGGAGUUCCUCGUUUACCUUCGAGCCAGACUCCUGGAAUUCUUCCAAAGGUAUUAGGAUUGUAUUAGUGAUUGCUCCAUUCUCUAGUUCAAUUCUAAUCUGUAGCUCUCUCUCUCUCUUUUAGUUGAUGGAACAUUUGGUCAGUAUAAGGAAACGUGUGAAACAAAAGAUGAAGAAGGAAACAGGUCUCAAGUACUGGGAGCUUGACAUUCGGCAGCAGGCAUUAAAACUCACAGCCAAUAGGUUUUGUGUUUAAUGGUUUUAGCUUCUUCUGCUAGCAAUAAUUGCCCAUUUUCACGGUAAUGUUUCAUUUUAAACGCAGUAUGUACGGAUGUCUGGGGUUCUCUGAUUCAAGAUUCUACGCUAAGCCUUUAGCAGAGCUCAUAACACUACAGGUAAGUUAUGCUUUUUUCUCUGUUUAAUUUUUUUUCCUUUUCUCAUGAAAUCCGGUUAAUUCCCUAACAUUGCAGGGAAGGGAGAUCCUGCAAAGAACCGUGGAUCUUGUACAGAAUCAUUUAAACCUAGAGGUAUCACCUAGUCGCACUAAAUGCAUUUCAGUAGAGGAAAUAAUGUAAUGUGUCAACAUGUUGGGGAAUAUUGAACAUGUAUGCAGGUGAUUUAUGGUGACACAGAUUCAAUCAUGAUUCACAGUGGACUAGAUGAUAUGGAAGAGGUCAAAACCAUUAUAACAAAAGUCAUCCAAGCGGUAGGUUGGAUAAUAGCUUUUUACCCUUAAAACAAAGCUAUAUAGUAUGAUUAAACCAAUAUUCAUUUAAUGUUUGCAACUUUAAUGUUCGAUUUCCUGAUGCAUGAAAGACAAUGGAUAACUCAACUUUAAUAUUAUAGGUCAAUAAGAAGUACAGAUGUUUGAAAAUUGACUGUGAUGGCAUAUAUAAGAGAAUGCUUAUUCUAAGAAAAAAGAAGUAUGCUGGCGUCAAGUUGCAGUUCAAGGACGGGCAGACUUGCGAGGUAUAAUAUUUAAUUUACACAUCCUGGCUACCUUUUCUUUUUUUUUCUUAGAAAAUAUUUGAGGAUACUAAACGCAUUGUUGGUCAAUGCAGGAAAUUGAAAGAAAAGGUGUGGAUAUGGUUCGUCGAGACUGGAGCUUACUCUCCAAGGAAAUUGGAGACUUAUGCUUGGCUAAGAUCUUUUGUGGAGGGUAUGUUCUAAAUCAUUCACUCACUCAAGAAUAUUUACUUUUUACUCUCUCAUGCAAACAUACAAUCAUCUUUUCAGGUCGUGUGAGGAUGUUGUUGAAGCAAUUCAUAACGAACUUGUGAAGGUAAUCUUUUCUUUAUAAACGUUUGUUAAUCAGUUUGCUCUUCUUUUUCAUCUUUUACAUGUUGCAACAGAUAAAAGAGGAAAUGAGAAAUGGGCAAGUUGCACUUGAGAAGUAUGUCAUCACCAAGGCAUUGACUAAACCACCAGAAGCUUAUCCAGAUUCCAAAAGCCAACCACACGUUCAAGUAAGUAUGAGAGCUAUUAUUUCUCUCUCACUGGACUUUUCACAUCUUCACUAAACUUUGAGUGUGCUUCUCAGGUCGCACUCAGAAUGAGGCAACGUGGUUUUAAAGAAGGUUUCAAUGCCAAGGAUACUGUACCUUAUAUAAUCUGCUAUGAACAGGUUCCCAAACCAGAAGACCAGCAGCUUAAUAUUAUCCCAAAUCCAAUCGUCUUCCUAGUAAAAAUCUUGUUUCCUUCCCUUCCUUGUGUGCAGGGUAAUGCUAGCUCUGUCAGCUCAGCAGGGAUUGCCAAACGCGCUAGGCAUCCUGAUGAGGUGAAGUCAGACGACAGCAGAUUGUUGGUUGACAUAGAUUACUACUUGGCACAGCAGAUUCAUCCCGUGGUGUCUCGUCUGUGCGCAGAGAUUCAGGGCACAAGUCCUGAGAGGUUAGCCGAGUGUUUAGGACUUGACCCAUCAAAGGUAAAAAAACAAUUUUCAUUUAAAGCCAACUCUCCAAUUCUGAUAGAUGAUUAGAAAUAUUGUUUUCUAUAGUAUCGAAGCAACGAUGCUACGAGCAGUGAUCCUUCUACAUCCCUCUUGUUUGCUACAAGCGAUGAAGAAAGGUAAUGAAUGCUAUCUUUGUAAUAAUAUAUUUCCUCCAGGAAUCUGCAACAACGCGCGUAAUUUACAUGUACAAUAAAAAAACGCAGAUAUAAAAGCUGUGAGCCGUUAACACUAACAUGCCCCAGCUGCUCUGCUUCUUUCAACUGUCCAUCUAUUACUAGUUCAGUUUGCGCGUCGAUCAGUAAUAAAUCUGAAACAGCGGAAUCUACAUUCUGGCUUAGACUGCAUUGCUCGAAAUGCAGGGGAAGAAUAUCCCCUGCAAUGAUAGCUAAUCAGGUAGGCAAUGAUUUUUCUUAAAAAAGAAUUCGAAUUUCUAACUCUUGUAUCCUUCCUUCUGAUUGGAUUAACUCAUCUCAUCAUGAAUUUCAGGUGAAAAGGCAGAUUGAUGGGUUCGUGUCAAUGUACUACAAAGGCACAAUGAUGGUGAAUAUAGAACUUCUCCCUUGCCUCGUUUUUAUAUAUAUCCAUAUAAUUUUGAACACCUCUCGUUACAUCUUGCUUUCAACAGUGUGACGAUGAGUCUUGUAAGCACACCACUCGCAGCCCCAACUUUCGUCUGCUAGGUGACCGGGAACGGGGAACAGUUUGCCCAAACUAUCCUAACUGUAAUGGAACCCUCUUACGAAAGGUAUGUGCCCUCAUCCACCGGAUAAGAAGAACUCUUAUCUUUCCGUUGCUUCAUAGAAACAACUUUUGAUCCCCCAAGCUUUGUCUUAUUGCAGUACACUGAAGCAGACCUGUACAAGCAGCUGUCAUACUUUUGCCACAUCUUAGACACACAAUGCUCUCUAGAAAAGGUUUUUUCACAAUUUUCUUAUGUGUUAUCACAAUCAAUUUGUGUUUUCUAGAUCACUAAUAACCUCUCUGGCAUUUUGUUUUUUUUUUAAAAAGCAGAUGGAUGUUGGUGUGAGAAUUCAAGUAGAGAAAGCAAUGAUGAAGAUAAAACCUGCAGUUGAGUCAGCAGCAUCGAUAGCUCGGAGUAUCCGAGACCGGUGUGAUUACGGAUGGGUGCAACUCACAGACAUAGCCAUUUGAUAGUUCUAAUAAUUAUCUCAUCUCAUGUGAUUAAAUUUAUAUCAUCGUCUUACAUCAUUAAGUUUUUGUUUUGUCCUAAAGUUUUAUUAGCAUAACUAUAACUGAACUUUGGAGUAUGCAAAUACUAGACUAAAAACAGUUUCGACUACUGUUUGGUAGUGUACUAAGCCGGAGAUGUUGACUUCGAAUCAUCUUUGUCUUCAAAGCAGAAUGGCUCUGGAAACGCACAUUUCCUGAGUUGCUUGGGGUGGUUCACGGUUAACCAUCGAGUGAGGAGCAACAAGGAGAGUCGCAAAGUGCUGCUCUUGUUGUAAGGUUCCAUUGAACCUUGUCUGCGUAGGCGGUAGAACUGGUGGUAGUCGCACAGGGUUUAGGCCUAAACCAUUUAUUUUUAUAUUUAAAAUAAGAAAAAGGAUCUAAAUUUUUUUAUAUGAAAGUGUUUUUUUUAUUUCCGCAGAUUUAUUUUUAAAAUACUCUGGUAUUUUGAAAAAAAAAAACAUAUAUCUCUCCCUAAACGAGUAUAACUCUGGUAUUCUUCAACUAGAUAAGCCGAAGACCACUCCAUCCUCAUCGUUUUUAGAGAUAAUUUUGCCUUACGCAGCUUCUAUAUGCAUAGAGACACAGAAAUUUUGAUUCUAGGGUUUUGUGAUGCAGCAUGUAUCUCUCCCUAAACGAGUUAUGCGUUAUCAUACGUCUCCAGUGUUUAGACACGGCUUGGAAACUAAAAUUAGAGAUUUUACUGGAAGCCUCAGCAUAAUCUCUUGUAACUCAUCGUCGUUUAAUUAUUAUCUCAGUCACCUCUCUUCUUCAUCUUUUGCUUUCUCUUUCUGAGGAAAAUGAUGAAGCAAAUUUGUCCUUUUCGUGGCCUUGCUGCUGCUCUUUCUAUCGAUGGUAUAUAUAAACGAUCUGCCUUCUACUUUUGCUUUCUCUUUCUGAUCAGGACAACGACCAAGUACUACUACAUUGCCUUCGUUUGUGUCUUCAAUUCAUCUCAUCUUGCUCAUAUUUAUAGACACGGUAACUUAGGAAUCCUUUUUCAGCCCAAUGCCAAAACCCUAAUGAAUUGUGUAACAGUUUUUUCUUUUAUUUUGUAAACGGUUAUUCUAGUUUUUGUUUAUUUUCGGUUUUGUAAUUAUUAGUUGUCGAGUAAAUUGUAGUUAUAGUCACCCCAAUAUUUUGUUUCCACGAGGAGAUAUAAAUUAAUUUUAAUCAAACACUGCGUACGGAAAAAAAUACAGAACUAUGCACAUUAUAAAUAAUUUAUAUUUGCUACUAAUAACAAGUUCCGCUGUAGCACAAAGGCAAUUUCAAGCAAAUAGAGCGUAGGGGCUUCCAGGGUCCCCUUGUUCACAAUUUGAAAUCCGGGUUCGAUUCCCGGCAGCGGAAUUUUUUUUUUCAAUAAGCUAUGGAUUAGUUUAAUAUAUUUGGUUUAACCAUGACCAAUUCAUCUCAUAUUGCUCGUAUUUAUAGACACCUUAACUUGGAAAUUCUCUUUCAGUCCAAUUCCAAAACCCUUAUGAAUUGUAACACUUUUUCCUUUUAUUUUGUAAAUGGUUAUUCUAGUUUUUUUUCCUUUUUCGUAUCAUUAUUUUUAAUGUUAUUUGUCGAGUAAUUGUUGAUAUUUCAAUUUUAUAUAUUAUUUGUCGAGUAAUUGUCGGUAUAUUCACCCCAAUAUUUGUUUCAACAAAGAGAAGAUAUAUGAUAUAAGUUAAUUUUGAUCGAACAGAACUGUUUAUCUAUAAAUAAAAUUAUAUUUGCUAAUUUAUAACAACAUCCGCUGUAGCAGAAAGGCAGUUUCAUGCAAAAUAGAGCUCAAGGGGUUCUCUUGUUCACUCUUGAAAUCCGGGUUCACUCCCGGCAGCCGAAUUUAUUUUUUAUCGAAUAGGCUUAUGUGUUAGUUAAUUACUAGUAUUUAGUCCCGUACUACGUACGGGUAAAGUAUUUCUUUUUUUCAGAUAAGAACUAACAUCUAAUUUUAAAAUUUAAUAACACUACAUGUUUACGGUUAAAAAUGUAUUACCACGGUAACACCACAUUCAUUUUUGAAUCUACAAAAUAGGAAAAUAGGAAGUUAAAACUAAUACUGGAAUGAAAAAAUUUAUCCAUCGAAUCAAAAAACAUUGUCCAUAUAAACCAAUUAGGUCCAAAACGUUAUUUAUUAUAAUUUGAUAAUAAAAAGUAUAGGUUCAGAGAAAUUUUUGACCCAAAGAGGGUUCAAAGACACGUUAUGGUAAAAUUAUUGAUGUCAUGUAUCUAAAACUUAAGAAGUCAAGUCACCAAAUAAAAUUUUGAAAACCUUUGGUCAUGAAAAGUACGAACUUUGAAAAAAGAAACUUGGUAACCAUAAAUCAUCAAGUCAUCGUAAACACAUUAUAAUACUACAAUUCCUACAAUAAAAAUCAAUGCAACUUAAAAAAUAGUUUGUAAUACAAAUUUAAAUCGUGGUUAUAAAAAAGAAGCAAGAAUGGAACUCCCGAGUUUACAGUAUUAAUUACCUUUUCUAUCCAGACAACAUUUCUUUAUUACAUAGUGCCUCAAAAAAACUUGGGAACGUCAUCGAACUUCCUAUAAUUUGGAAGGCUAGUCACCUUCUCAUUUUGCAUAUGCUUAACCUUGUCUGCUUUUUGUUUUAUUUCGGCUCUUCACAUUUGCAUAAGAUUUGAAUUGAUGCCCAUCAAUCACCUGUUUACUCCUAAACAUGCAAACAGUCUAUAGUUUCCAAAAUUAUAAAUUUUUGAUUGAUGUGAUUAGCAUUCUAAGGAAAAGCCAUAGAAAACUGAGUUGUAAACAGUGGCGGACCCAAGAUUUUUUUUAAUCUGGGUCAGUGACAUAUUAAAUUUCAAAAAGUAAUACAAAGUAGGGUAUUGAACCCAUUAACUCAUGUUUAAGGGGGUGCAACACUGACCAUUUGAGCUAAGUAAACAUAAUAACUGUAGGCCACAAGACACUUUUUAAUAUUUAACCUGGGUCAAUUGACACACCAUUUCAUUACCUUGGUCCGCCUCUGGUUGUAAAUAUAUAAUUCUCUUUAUAAUAGAGUCAAACGUACUUAGUGUUACCUCAAUUGCAAACGUGCUCUGAUUUUCCAUGUUUUGAAGAAUGAAGUUUGAAACGUCAGUAUCACACUAAUUUUUUAAAGGAUACUAAUUUGAGGAAAACAAAAAGUGAAUAUGAAUACAAAAUUACAAAUAUGUAUAUUUUUUGUUGGUACACAGACAAACUGUAGAAAAAAAGUUGAUGAAGAAGUUAAAAACGAUAGAGAAGAAGAAAGAAGAGAAGCAAAUAAAGAAAAAAUGAAUUGAUUAUAAAGUAUAUAAACGACGAAACAAUUUAAAAUCAUGCCACGAUUUGGAAGUUAUAGAUAACAUGCACGUCAUAGUGGCAAUCAGAGAAAAAAUAGGGUUUUAACUAAAACAUCGAAUGAGUUUAGGGCCAAUUUCUUGCUAACAAUUGUUUUGUUAAUUAUCUCAUUGGUUGCUUUUUAAGCAUGAUCUUAACAUUAAUUGAUAUUUAUUCAAAAGCCAUAUGCUCUACUUUGAUUUGUCAAAUAAGUAAAUUCGUAGAUCAAAAAUUACAGGAAAAAAAUAUUUGAAAUUCUGACGGUUAGUUUUGAACGUGGGAGAAAGAUAAAUUGACAAAUCAAGUAUUUAAAUAUAUUUUUUUUGUUUUUUAUUUUGUACAACAUUAUCUAUGUGUCAAAAUUUUAGUGGCCAAGUAACUUGUACUUUAGUAUAUAAAGGAUACUAGGCUUUUAAAAGUCUUUUAGAGCCCAUAUGAAUGACAAUCCAACUCAGAUUAUCAAUCAAAAACGUAUAAACUAAAUAUUAUAUUUUCUUUCUUUCAUUUUUGUUUGACUACAUCAACUAUCAAAUAUACAUUCGAUUUAGAUUUCACUUACAGGAACAUGCCACUGAUUCAAAAGGACAAAGUAGGCUUGGUCGUUCAGUGGUCCGUUCGGUUUCGGUCCAGGUGAUUCGGAUUUUUGGACUUUCGGUGUUAUGCUCAUAAGUACCGUUCGGUUUUUACUAAUUAAUUAUCGGAUCGGGUUCGGUUCGGAUCGGAUAUAACCAAUGUUUAAAAUCGUUCAAAAAUAUAUUUUUAAAAACUUCGAAAAUUGACAAAAAAAAAUUCAAAAUAUAUAAAUUAUUUACAAAUUUAAUUAAAAAUUAGUUAAACUAUCUAAAUUAACUAAAAAGUAUUCAAAAUAACAAAUAAAACAAACUACAAAAUUAUUUUAAAUACUCUAAAAUAUCUAAAUCACCUUAAUAUAUAUAUAAACAUUAACAUAUUUAACUAAUUUCGGAUAUCUUUAGACCUUAAUUUGGAUUUCGGUUCGGUUCGGGUUAUAACCAAAGUCCAAAGUAGUAAGCUCAUAAGUCCCAUUCGGAUAUUUUUGUAAAACAGUUCGGAUUCGAUUUCGGUUUUUUCGGUUCAGAUUAAGGUAGGUACUUCGGAUUGAGUUAAAAACGUCCAGGAGUAGGACAAAGCAAACGAGAGAUCUUAUAAAACUCUUACGUGGGUUUGAAACUAUGCUAGCGAAGACGAUUUGUCUCUGCACAAAUGUCCAGUGGUUUUAAGAAACUCGUGCCUAAACAACUGGUGUAAUCAGCUGGAAUUCUCGCCAUGCUCCUCAAAGUAUUCGAUCAUACGUUUCAGAAACGCAUCACUGCUCAUUGUCUCUGUAUCUCAGACCACACAAACAGUGUCUUCUUACGCAAGUAACAGCACAUUCAUUCGCCUUUGGUCUUUUAAAAACCAAACCUCCCUUCUUUGCGCUUGAUAUAACCAUGGAGCCUCUUUCUCUCAACCUUGGAAACCACCCACCGUGGACACCUCCAUGUCCUUUAGCAUCUCCUCUUUGCCCCUAAUAAUACUAAAGCACCAUAUCAGUUGAGGUCCUGAGCAGCGUUAGUUGUAGUGAUUCCAAUCAAUAUUACAAGGUUGAACUCCACUCUGGAUUAGUCUUUUGGCAUGUGCCAUUGUAGCCUCUGCCUCACCUUCAUCAAGUUCCAUUCACGUUAAUCGAAGAAAAGAGAACUCCACGCCGAUCUAGUACCGUCAAACCAAAACAUAAAAGAGAUAGAAAUAGAAGCAAUAUUAAUAUUCGUCGAAAAUCACGUGGAUAUUACGAUCUACCCCCAACACCUAUAAAGAAUAGCCAAUGAGAAAAACAAGUCCGGACGCUUGACAUAUCAAACUAAAGAUUUGAUACCGCUUUCUUAGUCUUUUAUACCGCUUACGUCACACACCACAGUUUUGUAUGAGUUCAUAAUAAUAUUAAUAAUAUACAAGUUUCCAUACAUGAUCAUCAGUAUACAUUCUAUUUAGAAGUUAUUUAUUCGACACAUUAGCAUAAAUUCUAAUUUUGAGUGAAUAUUGGGAUCCAUCAAUUUUAUUUUUUAUAAUGAACAGUUAUUUUAUUACUCAAAUUUGAAGUAGUCUAGAUAAUCAACCGGAAUAGAAUACCUAAUAAAACAAAGAUAUCUAUGAAAUGUUUUCGCAUGCUUAGAUAGAGAAUCUGAAAAUCCAUUUUGUGCUCGGUGGGAUAUGAGUGAUUGAAAUCUGGAAAGCAUAUUAGCAAAGUAGAUCCAUCAAUUUUAUUCUAUAUCGAAUAUGUUUUUGAUAUUCAAACAAACUUGGAUUUUACGUUCGUCAAAAAUAGGUUAGAGAAGGAACACUGAAACAAUGUUGUCCGGAAGUUUAGUGCAAUUAAGACUGUUUUAUUACCAUUCAACUACGACCCGAAUCAAUAAAUGUUUGUUGAAGUCUCGAAGACAUCGUAAGCAACCUUACGUAUUAGUGGCGGCUUUGGGCCUUUGGCAUGAUGUAACCAAUGUCUGUUACUUUAUUCAUUCCACAAAAAUAAACUUUUUAAUAUUUUUACAUGUAUUAAAAACACAUUAAAUUAUUAUAAUAAAUAUAUCAUUAUAAUUUUUCAAUUUUUAAUAAUUUUUAAUCAAUAUUAAUUCGAUAAAGUCAAUUAAUUUUUGAAAUUUACAAUUUUUUUAUAAAAAAAUAUAUCACAUAUCUUUGUGAAACAAUUUUUUUUUUUAAAAAAAAUCAAUUUUAAUGGAACAGAGGGAGAAAGGAGUACUAGAAUAUAUGAAAAGGACACUAGUCAAAUACGGUCAGUUCAACGUAUGUCCAAAGAUACGUCUCACGAAAUUCGUCAACAAAACUCAACCGUGGUAGUCGUAUAAAUAUUUUAUAAUUUAUUUAUUUAUUCGUAUAAUCAGUGCUCUUUGUUAUAGGCGAACUUUUUUUUCUAUCAACUGUUAUGUAUUACUAACGCAGGGUAGGCAUGGCAUUUUAAAAGUAUUUUUAAUAAGCACUUUUUAAAGCAGAGGCAGAUAAAUUCUGAAGAGAAGGAUAACAAAGACUCAUAUGAAGCUUUUUGGUUAAACCUUUUCCCUUAUAUAUUAAUAGAAUGGAGAAAGUAGGACUGGGCAAAAGUAGUAUCAAACCAGAACCGAAAUUGAUUAAAUAUCUGAAUGGAUUCAAAAUUUUGAUAUCCAGAAAACUGAAUACAACCUGAAUCGAAGUAUUUCAGAUAUCCGAAUAUAUCCGAAAUAGAUUUAUAUAUCUUAAUAUAUUAAUUAUUUUUAGAUUUAAUGUAUACUAAAAACAUCCAAAAUAUUUAAGAUAUUUUUUAAGUUGUCUAAAAUACUUGAAAAUAUAUACAAAUAGUCAAAAGUAAAUAUCCGAAAUAACUAAAAUAUAUUCAAAAUAUCAAAAAUACUUGAAAUAUCUAUUGAUUCUCUAUCAAAAUAUUCAAACCAAAUCAAUUUAUAUGUUAAGUUUAGGUAUUCUGACAUAUGUUAUUCAAAUUUAUAUGUAAUAUAGUAUUUUAUUCACAGAUUUUGAGAAAUUUAAACUAUAUAUUGAAUUUUAAAAUUUUAAAAAUCAUUUAAAUGGGUUAUCUGAACCCGAACCGAAUCCGUAAAGAUCCGAACCGAACUCUAACCGAAAUUUAGAAAUAUUCGAAUGGAGCUGAAAUCUUUAACUCCAAAAAAUCAAAAUCCGAAUAGAUCUGAAUCGAAUCCGAAUGGAUACCCGAACGUCCGUUCCUAAGAGAAAAAGCUUUGUGAACAAGAAAAAAUGAAUGGAUAAAGCUUAUAAAAGAAGAUUGGAUUAAAAAACGUACAAAAGUUAAUUCCUAAAGAAACAUAAUACAAAAAGAAUACAGAAAGUAGAUGCGUAAAGUGAAAUUCAUACACGCAAAGCUGCAAAAGUAGUAAUAAUUUAAAACGUACUGGAAUAACUUCUUCUUUCGUUUUAUACUUUUAUUCAACACGUACUUGAAUAACUUUAUGAUGAUAAAAAUAUUAUUCGAGCGAACAAAGUAAAGUUGUAAUAAAUUAUAGGGUGCAUGAAAGACAUGUUAUCAACAUAGUUUCAAAUAGUUUUUAGUACAUCCUUAGAUACAAAUUGAAAUUUAUGGAUAUACAUAUUCAACAGAAAUUCCUUUCAAAUUCUUUUCACAGACACAAAUAAAUUUUCCUUGCUAAGCAUAUAUAUUAAACAAUAAUUUUGAAAAUACUAGUUUUUACGUCAAUCUUUUUUGGCUCGCUGAUAAUAAUAUUUUUGUAUAAAAGAUCUCACAUACUUAAUUUAUUCUUCUAAUUUCAUAUCUUCAUAGAUCAAAAUUUAGAUGGGAUUUUUGCAAAAUUGACCUAUAACUUAAAGUCAAACACAAAACUAACCUCCUUUUUUUUUGAAAAUUGGUUUUGCCCUAUUCACCCCACAAGUUCAUAUAAUUUACGAAAAUGCCAUCCAUUUUUUUUUUAUUUUUUUUUUCGAAAAUGACAUUUUUACUCUCUCACCCUCAUCAUCUUCAAGUAAUUACAAGAUUGCCAUUGUCAUCAAUACCACAACCACCAUGAACAACCAAUUUGAAGCUCUUAAUGCUCCUAAAAUCGAUUUACCCUUCUUCUUUUUCCAUUCUUGUGACCUAAACACAACAUAUCUCUCACUUUCUCUCCACAAUGAGCUAAAAAAACUCAAGAUUUUGAUUCUAAAAUUUUCAUGGUUCAUAGAGUCAUAGAAGCUAACGAUUAUGGGUGGGUGACUUCCGUUUGUGAUUCUGUGUGCUUGGAGAAGCCUUAUGUAUGCUAAGGAACUUAUCUCACUAAUUUAAGGUAUGACAUCGAGUUUUUUUCCAGAUCUGUUCGUCAGACGACUUACUUGGGAAGUCGUCUGGCUGUAGACGACUUACCUUUCAGUCGUCUGGCUGUAGACGACUUACCUGGAAGUCGUCUGGUCAACGCAGAGGUUAUUUUUGCAAUUGACUUUGAAAUCUGUAACCUGAGACGACUGAAAGUUAAGUCGUCUACUAUUGUUUGGUUUCAAAAAAAAUUCCAAAGAACCUAGACGACUUACAUUUCAGUCGUCAUAGGUUAGUUUUGCAUUUGACUGGAUAAUUUCAGAAGUUUGACUUCCCCAGACGACUUACAUUUCAGUCGUCUGGCGAAAAUUAAAAUAAUAAUAUUUUUUUUAAAGUAAACGACUUACAAUUAAGUAGUCAUAGGUUAGUUUUGCAAUUGAAAAAAAAAACUUCAAGAUUUAAUUAUACACAGGCGACUUAUAAUUCAGUCGUCCACCAGACGACUUAAUUGUAAGUCGUCCAGGACUUUUUUCCGAGAUUCUGGUCAAACCUCGUAAAUCCUGGACGACUUACAUUUCAGUCGUCUCGUGGACGACUGAAUUAUAAGUCGUCUGUAUAUAAUUAAAUCUUGAAGUUUUUUUUUUCAAUUGCAAAACUAACCUAUGACGACUUAACUGUAAGUCGUCUACUUUUAAAAAAAUAUUAUUAUUUUAAUUUUCACUAGACGACUGAAAUGUAAGUCGUCCAGAAAAGUCAAACUUCUGAAAUAAUCCAGUCAAAUGCAAAACUAACCUCUGACGACUGAAAUGUAAGUCGUCUAGCUUUUUUGGAGUUUUUUUUUUAACCAAACAAUAGUAGACGACUUAACUUUCAGUCGUCCGAAAUAACAGAUUUCAAAGUCAAUUGCAAAAAUAACCUCUGCGUUGACCAGACGACGUAUAGUUUAGUCGUCUAGACAACUUAGAUUGAAGUCGUCCGCGUCUUCUCCACUAGUUUUUAAGUCUUCUACGUUAGUUUUUGAAUAACUUGUAUUUUUAAGAGUGAUAAGUAACUUCAAGAUAUGUAAAACUCAUAUUUACAAAAUAUGUUCUCUCCCUUAGUUUUACUAAAUUUGACUAAGUUUUUCAACGCAAACUUAUAAAAAAAUAUGAUAUGCUUUGACUAGUUACUAUUGUUUGUUUCCAUCUCUUAAGUAUUAUUGUUAUAGACAAUAAUGAUGACUAUUGUUAUGAGUUGGAAGAAGGGUUAAAAUGCUUCUUAAAAUGUUGUAUCAAUAUAAAGCUACCAACAUUCUUGUUUAUUAAGAUGAGAAAAAGGCCAUUGGAGUUUAUUAUUGCAUAUGAGAGAUCCAAAGAUAAGAAAAAGGCUACUGAAGUCUAUUAUUUCAUUGAUUUGUAAAUGUGUAAACACAUUGUUAGCACAUUUAAUACAUCUUGGAAAACAUUAUUACUGAUUUUACAAAAAAUUCACAACUAAAAGAGUAUACAUGCAAUUCACAAAACAGACCACAAACAAAACUAUUAUAGAUCAUUCCUCUACAAAGACAAGCUUGGAUUCCACUUGAGUAGACAAGACCACACGACUUUUAAGAAGUCCAGACGACUUCUAAGAAGUCCAGACGACUUCCAGGAAGUUCAGACGACUUUGUCAGAAGACUUUUAGGAAGUUCAGACGACUUCCAGACGACUUUACAGGAAGUCCAGACGACUUUACAGGAAGUCCAGACGACUUUACAGGAAGUCCAGACGACUUUGCCAGAAGACUUCCAAGAAGUCCAGACGACUUCCAGACGACUUCCAGACGACUAACAGGUAAGUCGUCCCAGAAGUCUUCCAGAUCUGAAAAACCUGCAUAUUAAAUCCAGAUCUGAAAAACCUGCAUAUCCAAAAACGUUCAAAUGGCUUAAAAACAGAAAAAAUGAGUGAAAGAUUAGAUAAAUCUACCUUUACAGAACACACAAAAAUACAUAUCUAAAAAUAAUAGAUCUACCUUUAAAUUAGUGGAAGAUGAGUACCAUCUAAUUAAAAACCUGCAAAAAAGAUAGAUUAGUAAGAAAGACAUGAGACAAAACUGGAAAAUUCAUAUAAAGUUUGGUGUUUUCAAGUCAAAGAGAUUAGAGUGGGUUUGGAGAGUUUUAGUUUGGGAAAAAAGUAAGAACUUUAUACAACAAGAAGUUACCAAAUGAAGAAAAAUCAGACAUAAGAACUUACCAAAACGCUCAGAUCUAUUAUGAAAGGGAGACUUCGUCAGAAGACUUCCAUGAAGUCCAGACGACUUCCUGGAAGUCCAGACGACUUCCUGGAAGUCCAGACGACUUCCUGGAAGUCCAGACGACUUCCUGGAAGUCCAGACGACUUCCUGGAAGUCCAGACGACUUCCUGGAAGUCCAGACGACUUCCUGGAAGUCCAGACGACUUCCUGGAAGUCCAGACGACUUCCUGGAAGUCCAGACGACUUCCUGGAAGUCCAGACGACUUCGUGGAAGUCCAGACGACUUUGUCAGAAGACUUCCAAGAAGUCCAGACGACUUCCAGACGACUUCCAGACGACUAACAGGUAAGUCGUCCAAGAAGUCUUCCAGAUCUGAAAAACCUGCAUAUCAAAUCCAGAUCUGAAAAACCUGCAUAUCCAAAAACGUUCAAAUGACUUAAAAAUAGAGAAAAUGAGUGGAAGAUUAGAUAAAUCUACAUUUAUAGAACACACAAAAAUACAUAUCUAAAAUUAAUAGAUUUACCUUUAAAUUAGUGGAAGAUGAGUACCAUUUGAUUAAAAACCUGUAAAAGAGAUAGAUUAGUAAGAAAUACAUGAGACAAAACUGAAAAAUUCAUAUAAAGUUUGGUGUUUUCAAGUCAAAGAGAUUAGAGAGAGGUUGGAGAGUUUUAGAAUGAUGAACAUUACAUUUUUGUUGCAGCCAUUUGAGAGGAGGAGAGAGAAUGUGUAAAUUUUUCUUUAUAUAGGGAGACAAAAAAUCCAAUUAGGUUAAAUAUUUUUGACUCAGACGACUUCCUGGACGACUUACAUUUCAGUCGUCUGGUGAAGAAAUUAAAACAGACGACUUACAUGUAAGUCGUCCAGAAGAGUUUAAUAUUUUUAGCGGGAAAUUAAAUAUUUUUAGCGGGAAACUAAAAUAGAAGACUUUCCAGACGACUUACAAGUAAGUCGUCUGGUUUAAAUUAUUUAAGCGGGAAAAUAAUUUUUUUAAAAAAUUUUAGGCGGGAAUAUUUGGACGACUUACAUGUAAGUCAUCUGUUUUAAUUUCUUCACCAGACGACUGAAAUGUAAGUCGUCCGAGUAAAAUGAUCCGGUUAGGUUAAAACGUACAUUGGUAAAAUUAAAGGUUCGGUACGAUGUGGACGACUGAAAUAUACGUCGUCCGAGUAAAUUAUUCAACAGACGACUGAAAUAUAAGUCGUCCACACCCUAAACAUAACCCCUAAACUUAAUUAUCUAAUUAAACACUUCAUAAAAUCAAAUCAAACUUGAAAAGUGUUUACUAUACACAGAAAUAAACACAUAUAGGUGAAAACUAAUUUUUGAAAAAAACAUUUUAGUUUUCCAAAAUCUAACCCUAACAAUACAUACAAUACUACAACAUAUGUUUGCCAAACUCCUAAACCAAAGUAUUUCAUGAUUCACUACUUCCACUCAUAUAUCUUCAAAACAAAUCAAUUUUAUCAUAUCUUAAUUUAUAUCAGUUAAAACUGUUUAUAAUUACUUGAUUUUUAUUUUUUACGCAUCAAAAUAUUUUUUUACAAGAUUUAUAAAUUAUUUUUAAAAUAAACUGGUACCAGACGACUUACACUUCAGUCGUCCAGACGACUUACACUUCAGUCGUCCAGACGACUUCCAACAUCUCAGACGACUCAGACGAUUUACUCGGGCUAUAUUCGUAAAAAUGGCUUCUGUUUUUUUGUUUGGUCACAAGGGGCUGAGCUGUAAUUUCACUAGACUUUUAGGUUAGUUUUGCAUUUGAUUCAAGUUUGGGUAUAGGUUUGGAAUUAAAAUCAAGUUGUGGGUUAGUUUUGGCAAAAACCCCAAUUUAGAUUUCAUCUCUUGGUCAUCCAAUCACUGCCCUUUAAGAUAAAUACGAAGAUGAUAUGUGUUGUACAGUUUCAGAUUGGUGAUUACUCAACAAAACUGAAAAUUUUGAAUAAAUUUAUCCUGUGACAAAACGGCUACUUUCUCUCUCCACGUGUGCGACCUCUUCGACGAUUAUCCGCUCCGACAGUGCCGACGCUUCCGGCCUCUCACCGGCGUCUCAUCCGACGUCGUCUGCUCUCCGAUUUGUCUGCUCCGUCUCCGCCGAAGUAGAUGAAGAAGAAGAAGCCUAAGAAAUCCCCGGCGAAGUCUCCCCCAGCGAAAUCGAAUCCGAUAAAGUCGCCUCAGAAGUCUCCUUCUCCGACGAAAUCGAGUCCUUCGCUGUCGAAUUCAAACCCGGAAAUGAAAGCCCCUACGGAAUCCAAGGAUGGUUCUGAUGCCCAAAUCGACUUCGCGGUCGACGCGGUUGCUCACCAUUCGUCGGAAACAUCAGAUCUACCCUCUAGAGAGAUAGUGAUCGUCGCGCCGUCGACGGAUCCUUCUCUUUUAAAUGCCAAAACUACGAUGGAGGUGGUGCCAGAGUCGAGCUCAGUAGCCCCUUUGAUCCCCUCCGCCGUCGAAACAGAGGGCUCUGGAAAGACCCUAGUUAAUCUGUCUGAGUUGAGCUUUACAGCCCCUCUGGCGAUCCCAACAAUGGACUCUGAAACAUCUAAUGCUACUAAAGACGAGGCCGCUGUUAGUGAAACUCUCCUACGUCAAGCGACUGGUUCUUCGAGCGAGACGAUAGCUAUCGGUUUGUCAAAAAUCACAGACAAAGCUGAACUGCGUGAUGGUGGUGUUAAGGUGCAGCAACAGGAGACCUUACCCCGUUCCUCCGAGGUCAACGAUCCCAUGGGCUCUGGAGCUCCUGGGAAAAAUACCAGUGGUUCGGCCCCUAUUGACAACUGGUGUGCUCGUGCGAAAGGAGUAGGUAAGCGUCUCUCGAAGAAGGGUGAAGGGUUCACGUUACCGUCCGGGGAGGCUUGUAUUAAGAUCCCGAACUCUGUAAUUGAGAAGAACAGGAAAUCGUGGGAACCAUUUGUCCUGGGGCAGUUCUACUCUGACCCUCCAUCGCAAGGCACUCUUCAUAACAUUGUUAAUGGCAUAUGGAGCAAGUACUAUAGGGACAUCUCGGUCUCCAAGCUGGAGGGCUUUGCGUUCUUAUUCCGCAUUCCUAACGCAGCAACGAGACACAGAGUCAUCACGCAGGGCCUCUGGCAAAUUGAAGGCCAGACUAUGUUCGUUAAUAAAUGGGAACCGGGAGUGAUUCCAGCCAAACCCGAACUAACCUCGGCCCCCAUUUGGCUAGAGCUUCGUAACGUUCCCUUCCAAUUCUUCAAUGAGGAUGGGUUGGAGCGUAUAGCGGGCCUGGUAGGUCAUCCCAAGUUCCUGCACCCUACUACCGCUAAUAAAACAAACUUGGAGGUGGCCAAGGUCUUCACUGUCAUCGACCCACGGCAACCACUACCUGAAGCUGUUAAUGUCCAGUUUGACUCCGGGGAUAUCAGUAGGGUUCUUGUCUCCAGUCCUUGGAUGCCUCCGGUAUGUGGUUUCUGUAAGGAAGUUGGUCACAUCACCAAGAGAUGCCCUACUGCUCCUAAAGCUUGCUCCUUCUGCAACUCCCUGUCUCAUGCGUCGGCAAAAUGCCCUCAGAAACCAAACCAUGAAUUUUCUAAGAAGAAGACUAGGAGAGGGAGAUCAAAGGAGAAGCAGCAGUGGCAGGUUGUGAAUACUCCUACGGACGCGCAAAACUCUAUCAUCACUUCCUCCUCUCAUGAAAAGGGGGAUAAGGUACAGCUUGUUCUGGCUCAUGAAUCGAAGCUUGGUACCCAUUCUGACAAAGUGAGAGGGGAGACAAGCGGCUCCGUCAUACACAGUCAAUCUAAAAGUCCAAGGAAGGUUACAGGUACUUCUCGGUCUUCACUCUCCGAUGUCCAACCAGACUCAUCAGAUGUGGAGUCAUCUGAAUCUUCUGACUCAGAGCUUGAGGAGGGCGAAUUCAGUAGGCUCGAACCUGACUUUGAGCUUGUGCGAAACAAGAAGAAGUUCUCAGGAUUAAAAGGUAACAGGGGCAGGGGCCCCAAAAUCAAUUAAGUUAUGUCGACUGACAUUUUUUGCUGGAAUGUUCGCGGUUUAAACAAAUAUAAUCACCGCAGCGGAUUACGUAAAUGGUUUAGGAAAAACACUCCUCUUUUUGGCGGCAUUCUUGAGACUCAUGUUAACCCUCUCAAGAAGAAUAAAUUUGUCUCAGAUAUUUUUCCCGGUUGGCUGUCUGAUGAUAAUUAUGGUUUCUCUCAUCUUGGUAAGAUUUGGCUGGUUUGGCAUCCUUCUUUGCGGGUUUCGGUUAUAUCUAAAUCUCUUCAGAUGAUCACGGCUGAGGUCACUUGGCCAUCUGCUCAAGCCAGCUCUUUCAUUUCAGUUAUCUACGCGGCUAACGACGCCGCUGACAGGGCUAUACUAUGGUCGGAGCUCAGUGCAAUCGCCACUUCUCACAGUCUCGACUCCAAACCGUGGCUGGUAAUUGGAGACUUUAAUCAAAUCAGGGACCCGGCUGAGCAUUCUAAGGUGCCUACUCUGAAUAUGGAUAAAAAUAUUAGAGACUUUAAUCAAUAUCUCCUGGAUGCUAGCUUAGACGACCUGAAUUUUCGUGGCACUACGUUCACUUGGUGGAACAAGCGCAAGCUGGCUCCUCUGGCUAAGAAGCUUGAUCGAGCCUUGGUUAAUGACGAAUGGUAUUAUAUGUUUCCGUCUUCUGUUGCCUACUUUGGAAGCCCAGAUUUCUCUGAUCACGCAGUCAUCGCCAUCACUCUAGAGCCUACAAGGUUAAGACUGAAGCAGCCUUUCAGGUUCUAUAAUUUCCUCAUCAACAACGAAGACUUUCUCGCCACAGUGUGUACUAGCUGGUUCUCCUUCAACAUCACGGGCUCGGCUAUGUAUAGAGUUUCGAGGAAGCUCAAGUUACUAAAGAAUGUUAUCAGAGAGCUAAGCAAGCAAAACUAUUCGGGAAUAGAGAAAAAGACGGCUCAGGCCCAUGAAAAGAUGCUGCAGGCGCAGACUGUCAUGCUAUCUUCACCUUCUGUUUCUAAUGCAUCCUCUGAGCUUCAUGCUGAGAGGGACUGGGAAGAGUUAUCAACCGCUGAAGCUGCUUUCUUUUUCCAGCGAUCGCGCAUUAAUUGGAUGUCUUUCGGGGAUGGUAAUUCAAGGCUCUUUCACAGGUACGCUGCUUCCAGGCAAGCUCUCAAUCAUAUCCACUUUCUAUUCUCCAGCUCUGGUGAAAGAGUUGAGUCUCAGGCUGGUAUUCAAGAACUGUGCGUCAACUAUUUUUCUGAUCUUCUUGGAAGUCCGGUAUCUCAGCCUAUGUUUAUUCAAAGUGACUUGGAUCUCCUGUUUGACUUCAAGUGCUCUACUCAGCAGGCGGCUGGCUUUGAGAAACCUUUCACGGCUAAUGAUAUCAAGAACGCUUUUUUCUCUCUGCCAAGAAACAAGACGGGUGGCCCCGAUGGUUACUCAGCUGAAUUCUUUAUUGCCACCUGGCCUAUUAUUGGCCCGGAGGUGACUGAUGCGGUCUUGGAAUUCUUCAACUCGGGCUGCCUUUUGAAACAGUGGAACUCAGCAAAUCUAGUCCUCAUUCCCAAGAAGCCAAAUGCGUCUCUCACUACGGAUUUUAGACCAAUCUCUUGCUUGAACACGGUUUAUAAAGUGAUAUCUAAGCUCUUGGCCUCUAGAUUGAAGGAGAUCCUUCCCCUUAUGGUGUCCAAGUCUCAGUCGGCGUUUCUUCCUGGACGACUUCUAGCGGAGAAUGUCCUUCUAGCGACUGAUCUUGUUAAAGGUUACAAUACUCAGGCUCUCUCGCCUCGUGGAAUGUUGAAGGUGGACCUGAGGAAAGCUUUCGACUGUGUUAGGUGGGACUUCAUCCUGUCCUCUCUUCGUGCCUUGGCCAUUCCGGAGUCAUAUAUUUGUUUGAUAGCAGAAUGUUUGUCUACGGCAUCCUUCUCUGUGUCUGUCAAUGGAGCCUCUGGAGGGUUCUUUAAAAGCACUAAAGGGAUAAGACAGGGUGAUCCCCUCUCUCCCUAUCUCUUUGUGCUUGCCAUGGAGUGUCUGUCUAGGUUACUCUUAUCACGCUAUGAGGGGGGAAGCAUCGGUUAUCAUCCCGGAACUGAUCAACUAAAGAUCUCUCACCUAAUGUUCGCCGACGACGUCAUGGUUUUCUUUGAUGGAACAAGUAACAGCCUACAUGGCAUUGCGAAGUGCCUCGACGAUUUUGCCUCUUGGUCGGGACUGCACAUGAACAAAGCCAAGACCGAGCUCUUCACCUCAGGAGUAGACCAUAGCGAAUCCAAUGCCAUUGUGGGCUAUGGAUUCUCUACGGGUAAAUUCCCAAUCAGGUACCUCGGGCUUCCUUUGAUGAGUCGUAAGCUGAAAAUCUCGGAGUACUCCCCCUUGAUAUCUAAGAUAACCAAAAGCUUCAAGUCAUGGUCAGCCAAGCUUCUCUCCUUCGCUGGUAGACUGCAACUUCUCAAGACAGUAAUUUUUGGCACAAUUAAUUUCUGGAUUUCUGCCUUUGUUCUUCCUAAAGGGUGUAUUAGGGAGGUUGAAUCGCUCUGUUCUCGAUUUCUUUGGUCUGGAAAUAUUGAUAGAAGAGGUAUAGCAAAGGUAGCUUGGUCAACGGUUUGUCUCCCUAAAGACGAAGGGGGACUAGGCUUGAGAAGCUUCGCGGUCUGGAACCAAGUAUUAUGCUUGAAAUUCAUCUGGCUAUUGCUUUCGAGGUCGCCCUCCCUGUGGGUUGACUGGCACUGGCACACUCACUUGGCUGAGGUCUCAUUCUGGAAACUGGAGCCUUCAGCAAAUGACUCUUGGGCUUGGAGAAAGCUUCUUGAUCUUCGUCCUUUGGCCCUGCAGUUUUGCAAAAUGACUGUAGGAAAUGGUUUAUCUACUAGCUUUUGGUAUGAUGUUUGGACUCCUUUAGGUCAGCUCUCCACGGUAAUGGGACGGGCUGGGCCUCGUGCCUUGCGCAUCAGAGAGGACGCUAUGGUGGCUGAUGCCAUCUUAGGAACUACAUGGUCAUUACCACAUCCAAGAUCCCAGCAGGAAGUUGAUUUACAUGCUUUUUUAACUACUAUAACACUUCCUUUGUCCCCUGAUGUUCAUGAUAUAUUGGAUUGGAUUGCUGGUGAUUCUCCUAUGCGUGAUUUCAGGUCAUCUAGCACGUGGGAGGUGCUGCGACCGCGACAGGAAAAGAAGGAUUGGGUAGAUGUGGUAUGGUUCAAGGGAGCUAUACCAAAGCAAGGAUUCACCAUGUGGGUGGCGAAUUACGACAGGCUCCCAACAAGAGCUAGACUUGCAGGAUGGGGAAUGCUUAUUUCUCCGAAAUGUGGAUUCUGUUCAAGGUGUGAUGAAACCAGAGACCAUCUCAUGUUGGCAUGCGAGUACAGUCAUGAAGUCUGGAAGGAGGUGCUGCUAAGAUGCCAGUCGCCUGCAACACUGCUCACCAACUGGUCUGAGCUUCUGUCAUGGAUCCGAUCGUCGCCGUGCAAGAAGCUGACUCUCCUCCGGAAGCUGGCUUCACAGACCACAGUCUUCCAUCUUUGGAAACAAAGAAAUAACCUAAUGCAUAACCAGAUUGCGAUCUCUCCUGAAUCUGUCUUUUAUGCCAUUGACAAGGACUUGAGGAACAUUAUAUCAGCAAGAAGAAGAAGUAGUAAGCAUUUUCAUUCACUCAUGUUGAUGUGGCUGAGAUAAGAUUUUUUGUAGGUUGCAAUCUCAAUGAUCCAUCUUGUUUUUCUCUUUUUUGCCAAGAUGGCUCAAACAUAAGAUCUUUCUUGUAAAAUCUUCUUUUCAUUAUAUGAUAUUUACAUUUUAGCAAAAAAAAAAAACUGAAAAUUUUACGACGUUGAACUGACUGCCUAGGUUGCAUAGAAUCGCAAAACGCAAGUUUCCAUCGCAUUUUCAAAAUGAGAUUUUAGAAACACGCAUUUUGAAUAUUGUUUCACAAGUUUCCAACAAAUUUCUAUUCUGAACGUUUCUGAAACAGAAAACAUACCUUCAGUGUGGCUGGAACUUUCACCAAUACAGAAAAAAAAAACUACAGUAUAAAUCAACAUAGGCCCUGUUCGUUUGUACAUCUGGAAGAUGCAUCCAUAUGGUCCAUCUAGAUGUCUUAUCCAGAUGCUCCAUCUAGGUGGUGUUCGUUUCUACAUUUCGUCUAUGCAUCCAGAUGAAUCAUCUGAAUGCAACUAUGUUUGUUUGCUUUUCAUUUUUUAAAUUCCAUCUGCAUCCAGGUGGACUUGUUAAUAAAAUAACUAAAAUAUAAUUUUUUACGUUUCGGGGGAAAAAAUAGCAUUUUUUUACGGUUUUGGCCAAAAAUAUUUUUGCGGUUUUUGAGGAAAUAUGUGUUUUUCGCGAAAAAGUGCAUUUUUAUGGUUUUGGCGAAAAAUACGUUUUAUGGGUUUGGCGGAAAAAUACGUUUUCCGGUUUUGGCGGAAAAAUACAUUUUUUGGUUUCGGCGGGAAAAUACAUUUUUCUGGUUUUGGCGGGAAAAUACAUUUUUCCGGUUUUGGCGGGAAAAUGCGCUUUUCCGGUUUUGGCGAGAAAAUACGUUUUUUAGUUUUAGCGGGAAAAUACGUUUUUCCGGUUUUGGCGGAAAAUUUUCAUUUUUCAGUUUUGGCGGAAAAAUGCGUUUUCCGGUUUUGGCGGAAAAUUGCGUUUUCCGGUUUUGGCGGAAAAAUUCUAUUUUCCGGUUUUGGCGGGAAAAUUCUGUUUUCUGGUUUUGGUGGGAAAAUUCCGUUUUCGGUUUAGGCGGGAAAAUUGUGUUUUUCGGUUUUGGCGAGAAAAUCCGUUUUUUCGGUUUUGGCAAGAAAAUGUAUUUUUCCGGUUUUUGCAGGAAAAUGCUUUUUGCGGUUUUGGCCGGAAAAUGCUUUUUGGAGUUUUGGUGGGAAUAUGCGUUUUUUGGGUUUUGGCGGAAAAAUACGUUUUUCGGUUUUGGUCGAAAAUUGCGGUUUUACUCGUUUAGCCGAAAAAUGUGUUUUUAUGAAAAUGUGUGUUUUAUGUUUUUUUUUUGCGAAAAAACGCAUUUUGCGGUUUUGGCGGGAAAGUGUGUUUUCAGUUUUUGCGAGAAAAUGCAUUUUUUGGUUAUAGCGGAAAAAUGUAUAUGCAAAAAAUAGAAUUUACGGUUUGAAAAUAAUAUUUUGAUUUUAAAAUGUCAUUUUUGUCAUUUAUCAUUUUGGACUGAACUAGAUGCAUCCUCAUCCAGAUGCACCAUCAAGCUUCACCUUCGUUUGGGUGAGAAUUUGAGAUGAAUUUUUAAAAAUUCAGCUGGAUGAUCCAUCUGGAUGUAGUAUUAUAAUGCACAAAACGAACAUCAAUUUGCAUCUUCAUCCAGAUGGAUCACCUGUGUGAGCAAACGAACAGGGCCAUAUUUGAAAAUAUCAUAUAUGUUUUGUUUCAAAGGGAUCCGAUGAUUUAGUUCCCACCUUGUAGUGAUAUUUCAUAUUGUUAGUGAUAUGGGUUACAGUGCUAGAUAUCUCGCAUUAUAUCAUCUACGCAUUGCUAAUAGUUUUGAUUUGGAAACUGGUGACUCCUAAAAAAUAACAGAGUUUUAUAUAAGUACUCAUAAUAGACUUGAAACGAUAUCAAUCAAAUAUAAUAUUAUAUCUGAAUAUCUGUCCACCUAAAAUCUGAUAUUGAUUAUUGUAUCGCUCCCCCCCACAUUAUCGGGAGGUCCAUAUUGAUGGCUGUGUAAUCACUGAUACAAACAAAAAAGGUUCGAGAACUAGACUUGUCAACAAAUUGAUAAUAUGUAAAUCAUUCUAAGAGUUGUGAUUUAACAGACAACGUUAACAUCACAUUCAAUUUAGCAUUUAUAAUGCAACCGGAUAACUGAUUUUUAUUUUAUUUUUUUCUUUAUUAAAUUGGCUCAACCAAAUAGAACACGAUAUCUCAGAUUUUUAUACCUUUAAGACAAUGGUUCUUCUAUUGGUAGUCCUUACCACUAGUGCGAUAGGUAAAACAUCAACCCAGAACUAACUUCGUAACUGUACAAAACAACAAAAAGUGACUAUCAUGUAUUCAUGUUGUGUACCCCAUCUACAUUGCAACUUUACAUUGUAUCAAAAACACAUUCUGUUAUUAUUUUUUUAUUUUCAAGUUUACGAACAGCUGUACAUGAAAAAGCACUAUUUAUUCGUAAACAUAAAAUUAAUAACCAGUGUUUUUUUCUUAGUAAUUUCAUUGGAUAUCAUAUAAGUUUGGAGUACAUACUUGCAACGUUUAAAUUUACACUGGUACUCAUUAAACAUUUUAGGGAUCAAUCAUAAUUAGUAAAUAUCUUUUUUGUAAUAAGCUUUCUAGAGUAAAUUAUUCUCUGUUUUCAACUGUUUUGUUUUUCCUUCUCUUUACAUAAAAGAAAUGGUAAAGAUUAAACUGAUUUAUGGAUUAUGGUAAACUCAAAACAUUUUUUUAACUUAUUACGAUAAAGUAUUUUAUCAGUCAAAGUCAUUGUAUAUAUUGACGUUGUCCCUUCCACAAACAUAAAGAUAUGUGAACUUAACGAAGUGGAUCGUUCUUGUCAGAUAGUAGAUCGUAAUUUGUGAAUACUUAAAACAUUUAUAAUCUUCGGUAAAUGCAUAUCCCCUUUUUGUUUGUUUAAUAGAAGUAAAAAACGUGUUACAUUGACUAGGAGAUGACUUUUCAACUCGGCUAGUCAGAGAUCCACGUAUGCAAGUUCAAUAUCUGGUCAAACCAAGACCUCCGCCUCGACAUGCUAGGGCUAGUCCCGCUGUUUCCCAUCUUCUCUUUGCAGACGAUAGUCUUUUUUUCUGUAGAGCGGAUGGCCCGCAAUGUGCUGAGUUAAUGAGGAUCAUUAAACUAUAUGGGAGAGCAUCGGGGCAGCAACUAAACCCUGGAAAAUCAUCUAUCUUGUUUGGUAGUAAAGUAGACCAGGACCUGAAAAGAGUUCUCAAGCAAACCCUAGGUAUUCAAAAGGAAGGUGGUAUGGGAAUGUAUCUCGGGCUACCGGAAAAGAUUUGUGGAUCCAAACGCCAAGUGUUCGCCUUCAUUAGAGACCGCCUAAAUGACCGAAUCAACUCUUGGUCGGCCAGACUCCUAUGAACCGCUACUGCUUUGGGUGCAAACGGCUAUCUCAUGACAUUUACUCAUGCUUGGACCUGUCGGCGGAAGAGAGAGAGAAGAAGAUCAAAGAACUUCGGGAAGCAAAUGAGCUAGAGGCGGGAAAAUUGUGUUUUUCGGUUUUGGCGAGAAAAUCCGUUUUUUCGGUUUUGGCAAGAAAAUGUAUUUUUCCGGUUUUUGCAGGAAAAUGCUUUUUGCGGUUUUGGCCGGAAAAUGCUUUUUGGAGUUUUGGUGGGAAUAUGCGUUUUUUGGGUUUUGGCGGAAAAAUACGUUUUUCGGUUUUGGUCGAAAAUUGCGGUUUUACUCGUUUAGCCGAAAAAUGUGUUUUUAUGAAAAUGUGUGUUUUAUGUUUUUUUUUUGCGAAAAAACGCAUUUUGCGGUUUUGGCGGGAAAGUGUGUUUUCAGUUUUUGCGAGAAAAUGCAUUUUUUGGUUAUAGCGGAAAAAUGUAUAUGCAAAAAAUAGAAUUUACGGUUUGAAAAUAAUAUUUUGAUUUUAAAAUGUCAUUUUUGUCAUUUAUCAUUUUGGACUGAACUAGAUGCAUCCUCAUCCAGAUGCACCAUCAAGCUUCACCUUCGUUUGGGUGAGAAUUUGAGAUGAAUUUUUAAAAAUUCAGCUGGAUGAUCCAUCUGGAUGUAGUAUUAUAAUGCACAAAACGAACAUCAAUUUGCAUCUUCAUCCAGAUGGAUCACCUGUGUGAGCAAACGAACAGGGCCAUAUUUGAAAAUAUCAUAUAUGUUUUGUUUCAAAGGGAUCCGAUGAUUUAGUUCCCACCUUGUAGUGAUAUUUCAUAUUGUUAGUGAUAUGGGUUACAGUGCUAGAUAUCUCGCAUUAUAUCAUCUACGCAUUGCUAAUAGUUUUGAUUUGGAAACUGGUGACUCCUAAAAAAUAACAGAGUUUUAUAUAAGUACUCAUAAUAGACUUGAAACGAUAUCAAUCAAAUAUAAUAUUAUAUCUGAAUAUCUGUCCACCUAAAAUCUGAUAUUGAUUAUUGUAUCGCUCCCCCCCACAUUAUCGGGAGGUCCAUAUUGAUGGCUGUGUAAUCACUGAUACAAACAAAAAAGGUUCGAGAACUAGACUUGUCAACAAAUUGAUAAUAUGUAAAUCAUUCUAAGAGUUGUGAUUUAACAGACAACGUUAACAUCACAUUCAAUUUAGCAUUUAUAAUGCAACCGGAUAACUGAUUUUUAUUUUAUUUUUUUCUUUAUUAAAUUGGCUCAACCAAAUAGAACACGAUAUCUCAGAUUUUUAUACCUUUAAGACAAUGGUUCUUCUAUUGGUAGUCCUUACCACUAGUGCGAUAGGUAAAACAUCAACCCAGAACUAACUUCGUAACUGUACAAAACAACAAAAAGUGACUAUCAUGUAUUCAUGUUGUGUACCCCAUCUACAUUGCAACUUUACAUUGUAUCAAAAACACAUUCUGUUAUUAUUUUUUUAUUUUCAAGUUUACGAACAGCUGUACAUGAAAAAGCACUAUUUAUUCGUAAACAUAAAAUUAAUAACCAGUGUUUUUUUCUUAGUAAUUUCAUUGGAUAUCAUAUAAGUUUGGAGUACAUACUUGCAACGUUUAAAUUUACACUGGUACUCAUUAAACAUUUUAGGGAUCAAUCAUAAUUAGUAAAUAUCUUUUUUGUAAUAAGCUUUCUAGAGUAAAUUAUUCUCUGUUUUCAACUGUUUUGUUUUUCCUUCUCUUUACAUAAAAGAAAUGGUAAAGAUUAAACUGAUUUAUAAAUUAUGGUAAACUCAAAACAUUUUUUACUUAUUACGCUUAAAUUAUUUAUCAGUCAAAGUCAUUGUAUACAUUGACGUUGUCCCUUUCCACAAACAUAAAGAUAUGUGAACUUAACGAAGUGGAUCGUUCAAUGGCUAGGGUUUUGGGCGACAAAGUAGGCAAUUUUCAGAUACAAAAAUUCUGACGGCGCUCGACGACAAACCUCACCGUAACUUUACCUCCUACGCAAGGAAGACUAUUCCACACUUCUUGCUAGGCCCCGUAAGGUUAUAUAACAAAAGCCAAUUCUAGUUUUUUACUACGAGACUUUGUUUUCAUAUCCCAAAGUAACGGCCGUUCUCUCAAGAAACCCUAAAGGUUAUCUUUGAUCUUUCUAGCCUUGUGCUACGCGUGUGUGAUUACCCUAACUGGAAACUAUGAGUUCACAGUCGAACCUAAUCCGUCGUGGGGGCAACUCCUCUGCGCAACGGGAUCUGGAUCUGGCAACAGAGGAUGAGAUCAUCCGUAUCCCAGCAUGCGAUCUGACGGAGGCGUCUGAACGCUUCAAAAGAACGUUGAUUGGAAGAGUUCUGCAUAGAGGGGGACAUAGUAUGGAAGCGAUGAUUGCACUUCUUCCGAGAGCACGUAUCUGGAACGUGGAAGGGAGAGCCCGAGGAGCGAACCUGGGUAAUGGUCGUUUCUGUUUUGAUUUUGAUAAGGAAGAAGAUCUCAUCAUGGUCCUAAACAAAAGGCCAUGCCAUUUCAACCACUGGGUCUUUGCUUGGGAGCGCUGGGAACCGUCAACAAGUGAAAACUUCCUCAACACGAUUCCUUUUUGGAUCAAAAUUACGGGAGUUCCAGUGCACUUUUGGAAUGAUGAUACUUUCACUGCAAUAGCGAAAGCACUGGGGAAGAAGGAGGAUAUUGAUGUCAAGAAUGCACGUAUCCAAGUCUCAGUUGAUGCUGACCGCCCCCUAAAGAUGGAAGCAAGGAUAGAAUUCCCUAAUGGGGAUUUUGGGAAAGUAUCUAUGACAUAUGAAGGGCUGAACCGCUACUGCUUUGGGUGCAAACGGCUAUCUCAUGACAUUUACUCAUGCUUGGACCUGUCGGCGGAAGAGAGAGAGAAGAAGAUCAAAGAACUUCGGGAAGCAAAUGAGCUAGGACCACAAAGGUCUAUGAGCUAUGCUCCAUCUGGUCAGCUAGAGAACUACAAAGGUAUUGCUCGAAAUAAUAAGAGACCACGUUCUCCUAAUGGGGAUGUCUAUCAAAGAUCUCCAACGUGGACAUGACUUCCUGGGCAGUCCAGAGGUGAAAAACGUCACAAAGAUUCAGGAAGCUAUUGGACAACAAAAGGCUACUUGAGCCGUGACGCUCCUCCAAAGAUGAUGGAGAGACGAAGGGAAGAGAGAGAUGAGCGACACACUCGGUACCAGCAGAAACCAACGGUUUGGAACCGACUGGAUGACCAUGACCGAGCAGGUGGGCAAGACAGGAAGAAAACAAUGGCUCCCAACUGGAGGCCGAGACGGAACCCUGCAGAGCUUCAGAGAGGAGGAGAGCCGUACAGACCUAAGGAACGGCAUUACUCUCAUCUUUCACAAGCUUCCCACCAAGUGUGGAGACCUCGGGCCCAGCUAACUGAAGGAAAAAGCUGCAGCCCCUCCAGAACACUUACGAACCCAAAGCACCCAAGUGCUUUAACUCCUGAAAAAGAAGAAUCACAACAAACCAUUUCGGGAGGCUUACAGGAGCGUAGUGGUUUAGAUGGUCAAGGUAGUGGGGUCCUAGUGGUGCAUAAGAAUGAAACCUCAGAGGAGAAGAUGAGACGUCUUAAAGGUAAAUCAAUCAUGCUAGAGGGUCCAGCCAGCAAAACUCCCGUUUCAACCCAUCAACGGUUUCCUCAAGCGAUGCUAACUAGAGACAGAGGUACGGUGGUUAUUAGGGAAGGAGGACUUCGUACGCCUCCACCUGCUCCCAGGUUGUUUCCUCCCCCUCUUAGACUUAGAGAUGAAACGGAGGAUCCAAGUUUAGAACUAGUGAACCUGAUGAACUCGAAGCAAAUAGAUGAGAUGGUUCUGACUAGGGAAGAAGAAGCUGAAGUCGAUAAGCUUGUGGAAGAUUUCGGGGAUGUAGUUAUGGAUGAGGAUAUGCUCCAAAAUGAUGAUCUGCUGGUUGACGAGCCAGGGCAGGAUGCAGAGAUUAUAGAUGCCAUCUCACAACUCUCUCCAGCGCAUGCUGUGAACCAACAUACCAGAGAAAUAUCUGCAGCUCCAAAGGAACCAGAGAAGAGUAAUGCACAUCAAGUGAAGAAGAAAUGCACGGGCUUUGAGAGGCUCCCUUUGCCAGGCACGGGUCAAAACAGGAUGGGGGUCACGGAAGAGAGGAAGAAAAGUUCCCAAAACACAGAACUGAAGGGAGCAUUAGCCUCAAAAAAGCUGAAUGCCUUAAGAGGACGCCCAUCUCCGAGGAAGAAAACCUCGGGUAACCAAAAAAAAUCUAGUUCUGCUGCUGUCCCUCGUCGUGAGGUGUCUACAUCUGCUAAAAGUACGAUGUUGUCUUUUGUUUCAGGUUUGGUGGGGUCCCAGAAACCACCCAGUAAGAAGAUAUGAAUACAAUCUCCUGGAAUUGUCAAGGGGCCGGAGCCUACUUGACCAAGAAACAUCUCCGGGAGUUACAUCGUUUUUUUGCACCAUCUUUUCUUUUUCUUUCUGAAACAAAAAACAAUCGUUCUUUUUUGCAAGACUUUCAAGUUUCUUUUGGUUAUAAUAAACUGUUCACCGUGGAACCGGAAGGCAGAAGCGGUGGAUUAGCACUUUUUUAUAUGGAUUCUUAUGAUGUGUCGAUUCUCUAUUUCGAUAAGCGUAUGAUUGAUAUUGCAGCUACCAUAGAGGGACACAAAGUUUAUAUGACUUUUGUCUAUGGUGAUCCGGUCGUUGAGUGCCGAGACUAUGUAUGGGAAAGACUGACCCGUAUAAGUACUACUAGAACUGGUGCAUGGCUAAUGAGUGGAGACUUUAAUGAGAUCACCGGUAACCAUGAAAAGAAAGGGGGCCGAAAGAGGCCAGAGACAUCUUUUCUAGCCUUCAAGUCCAUGCUAGCCGACUGUGGAAUGGUGGAAUUCCCUUACAAAGGUAAUCCGAUGUCCUGGAUGGGAUUCCGAGUUUUCGGAAAAGUCCAAUGUCGCUUGGAUAGGUCUAUAGGCAACGAAGAAUGGCACCAUAUCUUUUCCCACACUAAUGUGGAGUACCUAAAGCUGUGGGGUUCAGAUCAUCGACCUAUCCUAACCCGUGUUCAAUCACGAGAAGUGAGGCUACGGAGGAGCUUCAAGUUUGACAGACGAUGGCUCGGCAAGGAUGGUCUAAAAGAAGCUAUUGAAGAAGGAUGGGGACCAGAUGAAACCGAAGGAAACCGCACCCUCCAUAUUAAAUUAUGUGAUGUGCGUCGAGCCAUUUCAAGGUGGAAAAAAUCGAACCCAUCAAAUACUCAAAAAAAGAUCGAGACCAUCAAGGAGCAACUAGAGAAGGCCAAUAAUGAUGAUACCGUUCCGAGUGAAGAGCUUUUAAACCUCAAGUGGAACCUCUGUACAGCUUUUCGUGAAGAGGAACUUUAUUGGAGACAGAAGAGCCGUGCUCUAUGGCUCAAAGAUGGGGACAGGAAUACGAAGUUCUUCCAUGCGAUUACUAAACAACGACGGGCUCGUAACCGGAUAAUAAAACUAAAGCAACCGGGUGGGGGAUGGGCAGAAAGUGAAGAAAAGAUCGAGGAGGUUGCUACUGAGUACUUCCAAAACCUCUUCUCUUCCUCGGCAACAACCGAUUUUGAAGAAGCGCUCCGGUAUAUUCCCGUGAAAGUUACUCCGGCCAUGAAUGCGAUAUUAACAAGGGCUCCAUCAGAUGUAGAGAUCAAGAAAGCCAUCGAUAACAUAAACCCAGACAAGGCGCCGGGACCGGAUGGUAUGACAAGUCUAUUCUAUCAGAAUUUCUGGGAGGUUACAGCGAGAGAUAUCAUCUCGACGGUUAGAAACUUUUUUGACACCAGUACUUUCGACCCUCGGCUAAACCAGACGAACAUUUGUCUUAUACCUAAAACUGAGAGACCUCACGAAAUGACGGAGUUCAGGCCCAUCAGCUUAUGUAAUGUUAGUUAUAAGAUAAUCUCAAAGAUCUUAUGUUCCCGGCUCAAAAAAUUCCUCCCGAAGCUGAUAUCGGAGACCCAGUCCGCCUUUGUGGCGAAGAGACUCAUAUCUGAUAAUAUUUUGCUAGCGCAAGAAGCCUUUCAUGGUCUCCGCACUAAUCCAAUGUGCAAGGCCAAAUUUGUAGCAAUUAAGACAGACAUGAGUAAAGCUUAUGAUCGGGUUGAAUGGAGCUUCCUUGAAGCCCUACUAUUGAAGAUGGGAUUUGCGGAGAUUUGGGUCUCAUGGAUUCGAUGGUGUGUAUCCUCGGUCUCUUAUCAGAUUCUGGUCAAUGGCGAUCCAAAAGGGAACAUACAACCAUCUCGCGGCCUACGUCAGGGAGAUCCCCUCUCACCCUUCCUCUUUAUUUUAUUGACGGAAGCUCUUAUUUCUCAGCUGCAAAGAGCAGAGGAGGAGGGACGUCUAACGGGUCUCAAAAUCGCUAGGGCUAGUCCCGCUGUUUCCCAUCUUCUCUUUGCAGACGAUAGUCUUUUUUUCUGUAGAGCGGAUGUCCAGCAAUGUGCUGAGUUAAUGAGGAUCAUUAAACUAUAUGGGAGAGCAUCGGGGCAGCAACUAAACCCUGGAAAAUCAUCUAUCUUGUUUGGUAGUAAAGUAGACCAGGACCUGAAAAGAGUUCUCAAGCAAACCCUAGGUAUUCAAAAGGAAGGUGGUAUGGGAAUGUAUCUCGGGCUACCGGAAAAGAUUUGUGGAUCCAAACGCCAAGUGUUCGCCUUCAUUAGAGACCGCCUAAAUGACCGAAUCAACUCUUGGUCGGCCAGACUCCUAUCCAAAGGUGGUAAAGAAGUGCUUUUAAAAUCAGUUGCCCAAGCCUUACUGACAGAUGUAAUGUCUUGCUUUCUCCUGCCGAAGGAAAUCAUAAAUAAGCUGAAAGGUGCAAUAGCGAAGUUUUGGUGGAGUACGAAAGCAGAUAAUAGAGGUCUUCACUGGGUUGCUUGGGAUAAAAUAUGUCUACCUUUCGAGAAAGGGGGUCUAGGCUUUAGAGACUUAUAUGACUUUAAUCUGGCCUUGCUUGCCAAGCAACUCUGGAGGCUCUUACACCAUCCUAAAUCGCUACUAGCUAGAGUACUAAAAGGACGAUAUUUCCAUCAUUGCAGUCCCAUGGAAGUCAAGUCGUCAAAUUCUCCAUCCUACGGAUGGAGAAGUAUACUAGCAGCACAAGAUCUUCUGCGAGAAGGCCUGAAAAGAACUAUAGGAACAGGUGAUAGCACACGGGUUUGGUUAGACCCGUGGAUUCCGUCAUCCCCGGCAAGACCAGCUUUAGAUACAGGGGUCUUCCGUGACCGUGAUCUUCUGGUUAGCCACCUCUUAGACGAGACCUCAAAGCAAUGGAGAAUGGACAUCAUUGAGGCUUUGAUAGACCCAAGUGACAUCCCGUUAAUACGGAGUAUUCGCCCAAGUUCUACAGGAAAAGCUGAUGGCUUCUGCUGGAUUUAUACGAAAUCAGGCCAAUAUACUGUAAAGUCCGGAUAUGAGCUAGCCUUACAACUAAAGGAAGGAAAGCUUGUGCAUCAAGUCAUCGAACCAAGCACGACCUCCCUUAAAGCCAUGUUAUGGAAGUUGAAGACAACCCGAAAGAUCAAACACUUCUUGUGGCAAGCAUUAUCAGAUUGCUUACCGACUUGCAGUAGGCUUGCCGAUCGCCACUGUGGACUAGAUCGCAUAUGCCCAAGGUGCGGAACCGAAGAAGAAACUAUCAACCACUGCCUGUUCCGAUGCCCUCCUGCAUUACAAACAUGGGCCCUAUCGGACAUCCCAUCAUCUCCGGGUGCAUUCCCGAGCAUGUCUCUUGUAGACAACUUUGACUAUCUACUCCUUCGUGCACAAAAACUAGGAACACCUACUACUGCGCUGGCUUGCUUCCCAUGGAUUCUGUGGUUCAUCUGGAAAGCGUGAAAUGAAAAAAUCUUUAACAGUAAGGAAAUCCUUCCCCCGGACACUGUUAGUCAUGCAACCCUAGAAGAAGAAGAGUGGCGUGUUGCACAAGUACAACUACCUACACAAAUGCAAGCACCCGCACCCAGCGUAGAUGUUUCGAAUGAUUCACCAUUCCCUCGAUGCCAAGUGGACGCAUCCUGGGUGAAAAAUUCAAAUAUCUUUGGCGGGGGUUUUGUGUUUGAUCUCGAGCCAGGAUCGCACUCCUACGACUCUGUUGGAAUGAACCAGGUUUCAUCUCCACUUCAUGCAAAGUUCAAUAUCUUGCUUUGUGCAAUGAAAUACUCUCUGCAAUUAGGUUAUACUUCGAUGUCGUUUGAAUCGGAUUGCCUACAGCUGGUUAAGCUGAUACAUGAAGAAGAAGAUUGGCCAAGUUUGGCUUCAGAAUGGAAUGAUUUCACCUUUCUGGUUUCUGAGUUUAAUGUUUUUUUCAUUUCUUUUAUAAAGCGUAUUCACAAUGUAAGAGCCGACAUCCUUGUCAAAGGAGCUCGACUCCAGAACUCAGUUUUUUCCCAUGUAAACUCUUUGAUUCCGACAUGGCUAGCCUCAAAAGCUAACCUAUUCGUCUUGAAUUAAUAAAGCAUGGUGUUUAUCGUAAAAAAAAAAAAAACCAAGUGGAUCGUUCUUGUCAGAUAGUAGUAGAUCGUAAUUUGUGAAUACUAAAAUUUUUUGAUUAUAUUCGGUAAUUGCAUAUCCCCUUUUUGUUUGUUUAAUAGAAGUAAAAAACGUGUUACAUUGACUAGAAGAUGACUUUUCAACACGGCUAAUCAGAGAUCCACGUAUGCAAGUUCAAUAUCUGGUCAAACCAAGACCUCCGCCUCGACAUUUUACCUCAACCCGAAAUACCUACAUAAACCCGAACCAGAAAAACCAAAACCAAAUCUGAACUUUUAUACAAAAAUAUCCGAACGGGAUUUAUGAACUUAGUAUUUUGGUGUUUGGUUAUAACCCGAACCGAACCGAAAUCCGAACUAGGAUCUGAAAAUAUCCGAAAUUAGUUAAAUAUGUUAAUGUUUUUAUAUAUUUUAAGAAGAUUUAGAUAUUUUAGAAUAUUCAAAAUAUUGUUUUAGUUUGUUUAAUUAUUAUUUUGAGUACUUUUUAGUUAAUUUAGAUAGUUUAACUAAUUUUUAAUUAAAUUUGUAAACAAUUUAUAUAUUUUGAAAAAAAUUUGUCAAUUUUUUGAGGUUUAAAAAAAAUAUUUUUGGACGAUUUUAAUUUUGGUUACAUCCGAUCUGAACCGAAUCCGGAAGGAACCGAACCGAAUCCGAUCCGAUAAUUAGUAAAACUGGAAUGGUAUUUCUGAAUAUAACACCGAAAAUGUGAUAAUCCGAAUCACCCAGACUAAAACCGAAUGGUCCACCGAACGCCCAGGUCUACCAAGACCAGAAUAACUAUUUGUAUUUACGUUUUAUGAAUAAAUAACGUUAAGAUCGAAGUUUGAGAUCUUCAAGAAAAGAUUUUGUAAGAAUACAAAAUCAGGAUAUAAUACAAGUCGCUAGUUUCUUAACUUGAGAAAAGCAAGUGGGAACUUUACACUCCUUUUAUUUAUAUAUAUCCUAAUGAGUAUAAUUAAUUAGUUGGCAUAGCCGUAUAGGUACGACGAAAUAAACAAAAUUAGUGGAGUAACUAAUACUCCAUCUAUUUCAUAUUAAAUGUUAUUGCAGAGAAAAUUUUUGCAAAAUAAAUGUGAUUUUAUCAUAUCAAUAAAAAAUUUAUUAACUUUAUUUUUUAGUUUAUUUUUCUAUUGAUUGAAAUAUGGUUAGUUGUAUUGGUAAUAAUGUUUUAUAUAGAAAAUAUGCAAAAUUAAAUAUUUUCUUAAACAGAUGGAGUAAAUAAUAGUUCAUCUGUUUCAUAUUAAGUGUCGUUGUAAAGAAAAAAUUUGCAAAAUAAGUGUAGUUUUAGCAUUUCAGUGCAAAAUUUAUUAACUUUAUUUUUCAGUUUAUUUGAUUAAAAUACGGUUAUCGUAUGAAAUAAUGAUGUUUUAAUAUAGAAAAUAUGCAAAAUUAAAUGUUUUAUUAAUCUAUGUGCACAAAUCUAAAGUGACUUAAUAUGAAACAGAGGAAGUAUGAUAAAAUUAGCCAAUAUUAAUUCAAUACUUUUUAGGGAUUAUGUGUAAAUAACGGUAGUAUUUAAGAAGGAAUGUCAUUUUAUUUUAAUUUCCUAUUAUAGAUUAUAUUAUAAUUUAAUGUAUAUCAAAUAUCGUUUCAAAAUAUUCUAUGGUUUGUAAAAUAUUUUUUAAUAUUUUCUGUUUAUGUGGUAGUAUUAGUCUAUUAGAAAAGGGAUAUUCAUUUAUUUAUUUCUUAUUAUUGAUUAUCCUAUAAUUUUAUGUAUAUCAUAUAUGAUAUGUAAAAUUAAAUAAUUUAAUUAAUUGAUCAUAAUCUCUUUUCGUUUAUGUUUUUGUAUUAAAAGCUGAAUAUUCGGAUUUUUCAUUUUUUAUAUUUGAUUUUUUAAAACUUUAAACUAUAAUAUAUAGUUAGUGAAGAAUACAUAUUAGAACAAAAAAAUAUAUGUAUAUCUAUUAGUUAAGAUUGUUUCAAAAAAAAUAUUAUUUAAGAUAAGAUAUUUAGCUUUGUUACUAUAAAUUAGCUCAAACAAUUAGGAUGUUGUUAAAAUAUGAAUAUUCGGUUGUGGUUAUUGAUAGAUUUCAUUUUAUAAAUUGAAAGGAAUGUGGAGAUUUUGUCAGUAAUAUUGAUAUCAUUUGGUUAAUUUUAUACCUAAAAAUAGGAAUUAUAUUUCAAAUGUCCUUUGAUUGUAGGUAUCUAUAAUUGAUUGAGUAUAACAUUUCAAGUAAUGUAUUUUUGUUAUAUUUUGUUAAAAUUAGUAAUAUAAUAAUCGUGGUUAUAUAAACCAUAGUUUCAGUAUAUGAUUUGACAUGACAAAUUUUCACAAGAAAAACCAGAUUUUUAUUCAAGAUUUGAAAUCUAUACAAACCGACAUAACAUUUUAUUUAGUGAUAUACAUUAAAACAACUUAACAUGAUAAAGAGUUUUUUUUUAUUUUUUUAUAUUAAUAUCUAAUCUGGAGAAUAAGCAUAUGAUUUUUACAAACUUGAGGAGUUUUUUUUAUCCGAGCACUAUGUGACAUGUUCAAUUCGUGUUGAAUUUGUUGACUAAAUUUAUGAUAAUUCUAUGGUUUAGGUUUACCAUACAUAGGUUAAUGGAGCAAUAUAAGACAUGGGGAUAGAUUGGAGUUUUGGUGGGUUUUCAAAUUUUAAAAAGAGUUAUGAUUGGCUAAGGAAAGAGAUAAUGAAUGGAUAAAUAAGUCAAUUAAAUAUAAGUGGUUUAAUGUUAUCAAUCAUGGUUUAGGCGAGUGUCAUAAACUUGUAAUAUUGAAGGUGAAAUAAGAGUUAAUUUUAAUUUGUACUUCAAUUUUAAUAGAUUAGAUGUCUAGCGAUAGUCUAUCAAAAUUUAUAUCUAUUAAGCCUCUUUUAAAAACAAACAUUUUUGGCAAUAAUUACUUUAUAUCUAUUAAACCUCUUUUAAAAAACAAACAUUUUUGGCAAUAAUUAAACACUUAAACCAAAAAAAAAUAUAGGAAAAUUUUUUUGAGAAAAAAUAUAUCAACGCUUACAUUUUUUUUUUUGGAACAAUCAAAGCUUACAUCUAUCUCUUGGAAAAAGUUAAACAUUUUGUUUGCAAGACUUACAAAUCUUUGAUAUUUUCCCUUCAAGCCCCACCAUUAAUUUUCUUUCGUUUCAUCGAUGACCAAUUUAAUUUAUACUAUUAUAAGAUCUAGACGUAAUCAUAUAUCUUGUUAUAUACCGGCAGAUUCAUUAACUUAAAUUAAGACGAUUUUCUGUAAAAAGAAACUCAUAUUGCAACGAGUUACUACUAAAGCCUUCUUGUGCAAAUUAAAAACACGUAACUAUGAAAAAGACUACUCACUCAAAAUUUCUACUAUAUUUUAAAUUUGGAUACUCAGACUGGCAUCAUUUAAAAAAAAAAAUAAUCAGUCGUGCUUGGUUCUAUUCGUUUUUACACGCGCUUUGGUUACCAUUUCUGAACACAUUGGACCAUUGGUGAAUGAAAUGGGGUUUCAUUUUUCAACAAGACUGAAAAGGAAACAAUUUAAAUUAGGGCAAUUGUCAAUAAUAGCACCUUUUGAAGUUUAUGUCACAAAAAUAGCACUAGAAGGAGAAAGUCACAAAAAUGACAUUCAUUAAAGGGUAAAAUAUCCCUAAUACCCUUGGUUUAAAAUUAAAUAAACAAACAAAAAUAAAUAUAAAUAAAUAAAAAAAAAAAAAAAUUUUUAUAGUUUCAGAUUAUAUUUUUCAGAUUCGAAAUUUUUAUAAUUUUUUUUUGAAUUUUUUUUUUCGAAAUUUUUUUUUAUUUUUUUUUUAAUUUUCAAUUUAUAAUUUAAAAAUACUUUUUGAAACUGUUUUUAAAAUUUUUAUUUUUAUUUUUUAUAAAAUUUUAAACCCUAAUUCCAAAACCCCACCCCCUUAACUCUAAACCCUAAGGUUUGGAUUAAUUAACCCAAGGGGUAUAAGUGUAUAUUUACCUCUUUAAUGAAACCUAUUUUUGUGACUUUGAACCUUGAGUGCUACUUUGGGAACAAAAACUUGGUUUGGUGCUAUCUUAGUCUUUUUCUCUUUAAAUUAUUCAAAAUUAAUACACAUGAAUACUAUUUUAUAUCAAUGAUAUCAGACAGCUUUUGGGACUUUCUGCGACUUGUCACUGUUUAAUACAUCCCUAUAAGUUCUUUUCCAGUACUACUCCUAACCUCACAAAAAAAAAAACAAGAGAGAAAAGAACCAAAAGAUUAUCUUUAAGACAAGAACAGAAGAGGAAGAAGAAUGAAGUUCGGGAAAGAGUUAUCGUCGCAGAUGGUGCCUGAAUGGCACGAAACCUACAUGGAUUACAAUUACCUCAAAACCCUUUUAAAAGACAUCAAGAAAGAGUUCUCGUCGCAGAUGGUGCCUGAAUGGCACGAAACCUACAUGGAUUACAAUUACCUCAAAACCCUUUUAAAAGACAUCAUCAACUUCAAACACAAAAAGAAUCCUCACCACGGUCACGGCCACCACCUCCACCGGAAGUUCACGCUCUACCGAACAUUCAGCGGCUUACUCUCAAAGUCGAGACUAAAAAGACAUCACCACGGACACGGACA
rnacentral:lncRNA from 1 species